UACUCUUCCACCGUUGCUUGCAAUGGAGGUAAUGUCAGUGUUGGUCUUUCUAACUGGGAAGCCAGCCAUGGACUUGAGGCCAGUGAAUGGAGCCACCAUGUUGGCCUGUGCCGGGGAGGCACCAUUAAUGGUGGUGACGGCGGAGGAAGUGAUCAUAGAGGAAGCCAUUUCUUUCUCCUUUCUUAGUUCUCUAGUCAGAAAUACUUGCAAGUCUUGCACUCAAACAGGGUAUAUAUAAUGGUUUAGUUUUGAUAAUUUCUGAUGAAGUGGUCUGAAAUUGAGUGGAUUUGGAUGCUGCCUAAUUUCAACCAUUGGAUUGUGAAAUGAUAAACAUUGCAGCAUAUAAACCACACGAGAGUGGGGGGUUUUUAUUGUAAAAUUUACACUUGAAAAUCAUCACCAUAAACACCACUAUUUUUUUUCUUCUUUGGAGUCAUUUUAUUCUUACUCAACAUUUGUGCAACUUCUGAUAAAGUGAUAUAAUGGAAAAAGAUAAGUAGAAAAAUAAGUUGUAAAAUAGUGUAGAGAAAAUAAAAAAGAGUGGAAACGAUAUAUUUUAUUCUUUCUGAAAUGAUUACAUUUUAUUUUCUCAAUUCUUCCCCUUUUGUUUGUUGGAUUUCCAUUUUCAAAAGUACAAGUCAUGUAGCUAAAUGAACCUCUUAUCUUUUUCUUUAUCUCAGUGCAACGUUUCCCACAAGUGUAGCUAUCAGAAGGGUCCGGUAUUCACAAACCCCACAACCACUAAAUGAUUAGCCAAUUAGUAAUCCAUGACUACCAGCAGGAAUAAGCUCCAAACAAAAUCACAUAAUGGACUCUAGACUAGUUAUCAGCCAAUAAUCAGAUUCUAACCAAGAUUGGAAUUUUGAUGUUUAAAAAAAGUUUGUUUUAUUUCUUACUUUUGGUCUUUGAUAGGUGUCCACACCCUCUUCGAGAACAAGACUAAUUUCGCUUAGGAAGCUGUGACAGUCCCUCACAACGGAUGACUUUCUUGGAGUUUGAAUUUGUGUCAUCACCCUUACAGGAGCCUACCUUGCCUACGACUACUCUAACACCCUGUUGGUAAAUUUGUUUUAUUUUGAUAGUAAGAUAACUUGUUAAAAUCCAACUAAUUAUAUUUGGCUCUAUGUUGAAUUGAGAUUCAUUUAGCCGUUACAGAACAACAAUUAUGGUUUGUAAGUAGCAGAAAGGUCAGUGAAGAAAAGCCUCCAACAAAGUGCUAUACUGGAUUAGCAUGUGUUUAGUUAUCUUUGCAGCUUUGCAUGAAUCAAUCAAAGGUAUAGCAAAUUGGUCAGGCAAAUGUUGAGUGCAAAAGUUGUAAUUUUUUUGUAACAGAAGCUCUGCAAAUAUAUUUGUUUCCAAGGAUACCGUGAAUUUCUAUUUGGUAUUGAAAGUUCAGUAGCUACAUGGCCAACAGAAGUACAGUUGAAGUAUGCUUCAUGUCUGGUUAAAAUCCUAUAAAAGGGUCAAAAGUUAUAGCUAUUAGGUACUAGCUAGCAACCAACACUUCAAAAGAUAGACAGAAACUAUGUGAACUUAAAUGUCCAUUUAUCUAAGCAUUUUGCUCAUUGUGUUUGGCUUAUAACUUCUUAUGUUCUUUAACAAAACUCCAUUUUACCUUUGUAGUAGGCAUGAAGAAUAAACACCUCAAACAUUCAUUGCAAUGUGAACAGACUUUUUUUCGGACAGUAAGAAGAGUUCUAUUUAUUUUUUAUCUAGAAGUACGAGCGAGGAUCUGUGCUUAUCAAAAAAAAAAAAAACUAGGAUCUGUUUCCACUAAUGCAAACAGAUAACUUGACACAUCAUAGUUCAAUUGUGUAAUUGGUCAUAGACAUUUUGACUUAACAAUGACAUUUAUAAACACACCUAUUCAGAACAUCCAUUUGUGUGAGGCUGUUUUAUAUAUCUGAUACUUUGCCUUAAUAUCAUACUGUUAUUUCCUUUGUUCGUAAUCAUUGCAAACCCACUAGAAGGAAAACCACAGAUAAUGUGUUCUUAAGAAAUUUGGAAACAAGAAAAUUAUUCAUUCAUGAGCUCUUAUACAUUCAUUUGCAUAUGCAAAUGUGAAACUGAACAAAAGAUGCCAAAAUAUAGGAUGGCAAAGAAAAAGAAAAAACUGAACACAAGGCCUUUUUGUAUGAAGAUUUCAAACUUAGUAGCCUGCAGGCCUGUGAGCAAUGAAGCUGAUGCACUGCACUUGGCGAACGUUGUCGAAUCCGAUGAUGCGAACGAAAGCAUUGGGGUAUGCCUUCACAGCCUCAUCAAGCUCCUUCAACACCUGAGCAGCAUCACUGCAGCCAAACAUGGGCAGCUUCCACAUGGUCCAGUACCGUCCGUCAUAGUAUCCCGGUGACUUGUGGUUCUCACGGUAAACAAAGCCUUUCUGCACAUACAAAAUGCAGCAAACAGAUCAUCAACUAUCAAAGCUAAAAGUUAUAUUAGCAAGUUUAGAUUGGUUUGGUUCUGGCACACAAUUUAAAGUAUGGUAACUCUAGAAGCUGCAAUUUGUAGCUUUGCAGCUUCUGCCAGAAAUUGAUUAUGGGGCUUCCCGCCGCAGAACCAAACAAACUCAUAAUGAAAAUCUAGAAUGUAAAGAACCAAAGGUUGGCCUACUGGAGGUAAAUUUAUCUCCGACUCAAAUUCCAAGAAAGGAAUCAACCAUCAAAGCUCAUAAUAUAUGUAUAUCAUGUUUAAAUCGGUGGUGACACAAGUUUAAAUCACGAUACUUUUAGCGUGUUUGGUUCUGUGUUGAGAAGUAUCCUAAUCAUUUAUAGUGAGAAGCUACAAAAUGCAGCUUCUUAACGUAUCAUGUUUUGGAUUGUAUGCCAUCACUUAGCCAUACCUGCUACUUGCAGCUUCUCCCAAGAAGUGAUUAUGUGACUUAUUACCGCAGAACCAAACACGCUUAUAAUGAAAAACUACAAAGUACAAAGUAAAGAACCAAAGGGUUGGAAGAGAAUUGACCUCUGUCUCAAAUUCCAAGCAAGGAACCCACCCCUUCCUAAGAAGGUAUUCAACUUCCUUUAACAGUUGCUCUGUGGUGAGUGGUGGCAGGUAUGAAAGAGUCUCGAACUUCUUCUUGCCAACAGGAGGCCACACCUAGUAGUAUGCAUAAGAUUGAGUAAAGUGGUUAAUAAAUUUGUACUUGUUCACAUUUGCUAAUGACUUUAAUGUCAUUUAGUACAUCUUUGGAAACUAUCCCACAUUCAAUUAUUGGAAGUUUUUGUGAGUAACUUCAAGUGUCAGAAUGGAUUAUGAUGAAAUACUGUCUUAAUCAAAUGUUAUUAUUUUAUAUAGUACAAAAACAUGUAGCAUUAUCAUUGUAAUCAUCUUGAUGCUUCUUACCUGCAUGCAUUGUACUCUUCCACCGUUGUUUGCAAUGGAGGUAAUGUCAUUGUUUGUCUUUCUAACUGGGAAGCCAGCCAUGGACUUGAGGCCAGUGAAUGGAGCCACCAUGCUGGCCUGUGCCGGAGAGGCACCGUUAAUGGUGGUGACAGCGGAGGACGUCAUCAUAGAGGAAGCCAUUUCUUCUGCUUUCUUAGUCAGAAAUACUUGCAAGGCUUAUACUCAAACAGGGCAUAUAUAUUGCCAAAGUGAUAAACAUUGCAGCAUAUGAACCUCACGAGAGUGGUAAACUUUUGAAUGUUAGCCUUUACUAUCGGAGUCACUAUGAUAUUGCCACGUGGAUGAAGUGCCAUAAUCUUAUCUCCUCCUAAGAGAGCACUUGUGUGAUGGUGGUGAGGUUGGUGUUUUCCUUGCGGUCCUAUUUGUAUGCUGGCCUGAUGGAAUUUUGUGACCAUGCCUCCAUAAAUAUCUUUCAGGUAAAGGUACAGAAUUUUGUUGCUAUGUUCAGGCUUUGGCUGUUCAGGGAGGUGAAGGACAGAAGUUAAAUGUAAAAGAAUUUCAGGCUAGAAAAAUGUCAAUCCAAAGAGCCCUCUCAAGUGACAGUCUCUUGCACGUCCCAUAUGUAAUUUCAAUCCCCGAAAUCACAUUUAUCCAUAAGCUUCAAUAUGUAACUUCUCAGUUAAAUUCAAAAAAAAAAAAUUCAAAAAAAACUUCUCAGUUAACAUGCUUUGGAUGCUAUCCCUUUUGUUGGGUCGUAGUUGAGAAUGUGCUUUCGUUUCUACUGUUACAUGAGAUAACAAUUUGAGGUGAGCCUAAUUUUACCCCAAAAGUCACUAGUCACAGUAAGACUUUUCAAACCGAAAAGCAAAGUCAUUGGACUAGACCGGCCCAACCAAUAGCUAAGCCCAACCCUACAUCGAUCAGAUUAAAGGAAUCGUUAACUUCUCUCAUAAAAAAGACUCAUUUGAAGGUCAGCCUAAUAAAAGCGUCUGCUCGAGAUUGGUGAGAUUGUGUCUCCAUUUCCUUGAAGUCGGCCGCGUCUAUGCCAUAGAGGGACGAGACCAAGGAUCAUGAUGGAGACUGUGAUUGUGAAAAGGGAAUUAAAGAGACUUUAUUAUGUAAUCACACACUUCGGUCUAUAAGAAGUGGCCUAGGAAAUGAAAUGGGACAUGCUCACUUGUAUUAUGAGAGAUUAAGGUUUGAGUCGUGUUGGCUUUAUCUUGGUCUCUUAAGGUUCACAAUGAGAUUUUAUUUGGUUCACACUCUCGAGCCUCUUUUGCAGAUCACCUUCUAAGACAACGGCUUAUCGAGCAUUAUGGUUGCCCUCAUGCCGUACUCGGUGGCCACCUGAGCGGCUUGAUGCAUGCUGCCUCCUUCAACCUGAUGUCCUCGGGAAAGUCAGGUCCUUGUCUAAGACCUUUACGGAUGAAAACCAUAUGUCCCAAAAUGAGUAAGGCUCUUUGACCUUCAAGUCUUCAAACUCCCUCAGCAUAUCAUGCCAAUUAAUCAUAAAUAUCUUUAUCAAGUAAAGGUACAUGUUAAAAAAAAGUAAAGGUACAUGUUAGGUGUCCCUAAUUCUAACAUGGUAUCAGAGCCUCUUUGAUCAAGCGGUUCAGAGUUCGAUCCCUGCCGCUCCAAUUAUUCUAAUAAAAAGUUGAAUUAAAAAGAACAUGGUAGGUGAGCUUGUGCACUGUCCACGCUUUAAGCUCAAAGGGCUCUUGCGUGAAGGGGCGUGUUAGAAUAUAAUAAAACCAUUCAUAUGAUAAUUACCCAACAACUUAAGCUUUUGGGAUAAUUGGUUGUUUGAUAUUACAUGUUAAGAAUUAAGAUAAUAAUCAUUGUUGAUUUGUUCAGGCUUUCUGUCCAAUUAAUUAUAUUUGGCUUUAUGUCGACUUUGGAUUCAUUAGCCAUUUCAGAACUACAAUUAUGACUUGUGAGUAGCAGAAAGGACAGUGAAGAAAAGCCUCAAACAAAAAACCUAUACUGGUAUGUAGCAAAUGUUUAGUUAAUUAUCUUUGCAGCUUUGCUAAUGAGUCAAUAAAAGGUAUAGCAAAUUGGUCAGGCAAAUAUAGAGUGCAAAAGUUGUAAAAAUUAUUUGUUCAAUGAGAUUUUAUUUGGUUCACACUCUCGAGCCUCUUUUGCAGAUCACCUUCUAAGACAACGGCUUAUCGAGCAUUAUGGUUGCCCUCAUGCCGUACUCGGUGGCCACCUGAGCGGCUUGAUGCAUGCUGCCUCCUUCAACCUGAUGUCCUCGGGAAAGUCAGGUCCUUGUCUAAGACCUUUACGGAUGAAAACCAUAUGUCCCAAAAUGAGUAAGGCUCUUUGACCUUCAAGUCUUCAAACUCCCUCAGCAUAUCAUGCCAAUUAAUCAUAAAUAUCUUUAUCAAGUAAAGGUACAUGUUAAAAAAAAGUAAAGGUACAUGUUAGGUGUCCCUAAUUCUAACAUGGUAUCAGAGCCUCUUUGAUCAAGCGGUUCAGAGUUCGAUCCCUGCCGCUCCAAUUAUUCUAAUAAAAAGUUGAAUUAAAAAGAACAUGGUAGGUGAGCUUGUGCACUGUCCACGCUUUAAGCUCAAAGGGCUCUUGCGUGAAGGGGCGUGUUAGAAUAUAAUAAAACCAUUCAUAUGAUAAUUACCCAACAACUUAAGCUUUUGGGAUAAUUGGUUGUUUGAUAUUACAUGUUAAGAAUUAAGAUAAUAAUCAUUGUUGAUUUGUUCAGGCUUUCUGUCCAAUUAAUUAUAUUUGGCUUUAUGUCGACUUUGGAUUCAUUAGCCAUUUCAGAACUACAAUUAUGACUUGUGAGUAGCAGAAAGGACAGUGAAGAAAAGCCUCAAACAAAAAACCUAUACUGGUAUGUAGCAAAUGUUUAGUUAAUUAUCUUUGCAGCUUUGCUAAUGAGUCAAUAAAAGGUAUAGCAAAUUGGUCAGGCAAAUAUAGAGUGCAAAAGUUGUAAAAAUUAUUUGUUACAGAAGCUCUGCAAAUAUAUUUGUUUCCAAGGAUACCGUGAAUUUCUAUUUGGUAUUGAAACUUCAGUAGAUUCAUGGCAAAACAGAAGUGCAGUUGAAGUCUACUUCAUAUUGGGUUAAAAAAGCCUAUCAACUGGUCAAUAGUAGUAGCACUAGCUAGUAACCAUCACUUCAAAGAUAGAUAAGAAACUAUGUGAACUUAUAUGUCCUCAUUUCUAAGCAUUUUGCUCCAUUUUCUUGGACUUAUAAAUUCUUAGAGCAACUCCAACCCACAAUUUCNNNNNNNNNNNNNNNNNNNNNNNNNNNNNNNNNNNNNNNNNNNNNNNNNNNNNNNNNNNNNNNNNNNNNNNNNNNNNNNNNNNNNNNNNNNNNNNNNNNNNNNNNNNNNNNNNNNNNNNNNNNNNNNNNNNNNNNNNNNNNNNNNNNNNNNNNNNNNNNNNNNNNNNNNNNNNNNNNNNNNNNNNNNNNNNNNNNNNNNNNNNNNNNNNNNNNNNNNNNNNNNNNNNNNNNNNNNNNNNNNNNNNNNNNNNNNNNNNNNNNNNNNNNNNNNNNNNNNNNNNNNNNNNNNNNNNNNNNNNNNNNNNNNNNNNNNNNNNNNNNNNNNNNNNNNNNNNNNNNNNNNNNNNNNNNNNNNNNNNNNNNNNNNNNNNNNNNNNNNNNNNNNNNNNNNNNNNNNNNNNNNNNNNNNNNNNNNNNNNNNNNNNNNNNNNNNNNNNNNNNNNNNNNNNNNNNNNNNNNNNNNNNNNNNNNNNNNNNNNNNNNNNNNNNNNNNNNNNNNNNNNNNNNNNNNNNNNNNNNNNNNNNNNNNNNNNNNNNNNNNNNNNNNNNNNNNNNNNNNNNNNNNNNNNNNNNNNNNNNNNNNNNNNNNNNNNNNNNNNNNNNNNNNNNNNNNNNNNNNNNNNNNNNNNNNNNNNNNNNNNNNNNNNNNNNNNNNNNNNNNNNNNNNNNNNNNNNNNNNNNNNNNNNNNNNNNNNNNNNNNNNNNNNNNNNNNNNNNNNNNNNNNNNNNNNNNNNNNNNNNNNNNNNNNNNNNNNNNNNNNNNNNNNNNNNNNNNNNNNNNNNNNNNNNNNNNNNNNNNNNNNNNNNNNNNNNNNNNNNNNNNNNNNNNNNNNNNNNNNNNNNNNNNNNNNNNNNNNNNNNNNNNNNNNNNNNNNNNNNNNNNNNNNNNNNNNNNNNNNNNNNNNNNNNNNNNNNNNNNNNNNNNNNNNNNNNNNNNNNNNNNNNNNNNNNNNNNNNNNNNNNNNNNNNNNNNNNNNNNNNNNNNNNNNNNNNNNNNNNNUCACACAUUAAUUAAUAUUUAAAUUUAAAACAUUAAAUUUAUUAUGAAUAUAAACAUGUAUUACAUUAAAGCAGUAUGAUAAAUUUAAUGAGAUGGAAUGCCAAAAAUCACCUAUGUGUAGAUAUAAUAAUUUGAAGAGUGUUCAAAACUUGUGGCCAAGAUUGAAAGAGGAUGUUAAGAUCAAAACCAACGAACGAUCCUGAUUGAUUUCUAAUUCAAUAAGAAACAUAAUUACAGUAAUGACUAUGAAAAAAAUACAACAAUGUGUAAUAAUAAAGUGAAUUACAAAAUUACCCUCUAAGCUGCAUGAACUUUUCUUUUAUAUAUAUUAUAGAUAGAUAGAUAGAUAGAUAGAUAGAUAGAUAGAUAGAUAGAUAGAUUAUAUAGGAGUAAAUAUUUGUAUGAUAAUUGAUAAUCGAGAAUCUUUCAUCUACCAUAAGAAUCAACCGAUCGAUAAAAAAUGGAAGUUGCACUAUUAUUGUCAUUAUUCAUGAAUAUUAUUUACGAUAUUUUUAUUUAUCCAAUAAUGCAUUAAUUUCCAUUAACUUUUACUUAAUCAUCACCUAAUUCUCUUUCCAUUGCCCUUUCAUCUCUAACCUUGAAAGUUGAAACUGAUGAAUCAAACUCUGGAAAUAAGAUAUUAUUUUAAAGCCUACUAAGAACAUCUCCAAUGGUAGUAUUUAAAGUUAAAUACAUACUCAUAUGAGUAUCUAUUACCAUUGGAGUACAUAUUCAAUUCCAACAUGACAAAUGUGAGUAUGUGGAAAUAGAUACUCUACACUAGACUUAAAAUUUGAGCUUGUAAUUAUGAGUAUCUAUUACCAUUGGAGUACAUAUUCAAUUCCAACAUGACAAAUGUGAGUAUGUGGAAAUAGAUACUCUACACUAGACUUAAAAUUUGAGCUUGUAAUGCACUUACAAUUAAUUAAAAUGAAGAUAAAUAAUAAAAUAUACAAAUGUGAUGUUGAUGGUGAGAUCCAUUAUAGAAACUUUUAAGAGUUGUUGGGUUUGAGUAAAAUGUUAGUAAAAUUGGUAGAUGAUGUGGCAUUAUGAGAAAUUAAAAAAUGAUAUGUAGAUAUUUUAGUGAGUAUGAUCGAUGUAGAUACUCUAACCAAUACUCAAUCAAAACGUUGGAAGUUGGAACAAAACAACAAGCUCUGGAAAUAAAUCUUCAUUAGAAAUCCUUGGAGUUGUAACGAAUAUGUUGUCGCAUUUUACAUACAUGGUCUCCUCUCCUCUCUUAUUUUUAUUGUUUCUACCAUCAAGAAUUGAAGUAAAGUACCAAAUGAGAUACAUGAUAUAUAUAUAUAUAUAUAUAUAUAUCAAAGUUAGCAAAGUCUCUAAUUUUUUCAAGGUUCUAUUGUUUUUAAUUUUGUUUAUUGCUUACAAUUAAUAGAAAAUGUCAAAUAGAAAGUAUGAAUAUGGUUUUGAAAAAUUGAGUAAAAAAUUAAAGAAAAGUUAAAAAGUUAAUUGAAUCUCAACAUAACACUCCUUAAUCCUUAUAAAUUUAUCACUAUUACAUAAAAAUGAUUUCAAAAUUAGAAGUAAGUGUAAUAGGUAAAAUGUGUUAGAACAACUAUAAAUGAUUUUAUAGCUCAAAAAGUUAAAAAGUUAAUAUGAAAAACUGAUAAUUUAUAUAAAGUAUUAAGUCUUUCAAAGUUUUUUUAGAAAUAAUCCCUAAAAUGUAUAUACACGUUCUGGGAUAUUAUCUCUGUUUUCUUGGUGAGUGGGGAUUGCGAAACCUGAAAUUAGUUGGUUGGUCCCCGUAAAGCACUCGGUGUCUUCUAUUUCUAAUCCUUCUAUCGCUAUCAUCACUUUAUCCAUCUUUUCUAUUUUAUCUCUUUUGUUAUAUACUUCUUGUUUUAUUUGGGACUCUCCGCGGUUUAAUCUUAAUUAUCACAUGCUUUGGUACUUUGUUGUAGUUCUCAGCAUUUAUGAUUUCUAGCAUUCUCAUUUUGGUUUGAGAAGCUAAUUAAUUAAUUGAUGACAUGUCAAACUCAAAUGAUGAGUAUAUUAGGUCGACCUCCUUCCAAUAAUUCAGAUCUUUAUGCAUCAUAGACGAUGAAUUGAAUUGUCACAGUGUGGUGCUUGAUCUCAAAAUGUACAGCUCUUAGUAGUGCUUACUUGUUUAUCAUCGGAAAAAGUUUCACGGACACUUGUAUUAAAUGGAGAAAUGAUGAAAGUAAAAGAGAGAAAAUAUAUAUAAUUAAGAUGUGUGAUAUAAUUAAGAAAGAUGGAAAAUAAAUACAAAAUAGAAGUGGAAACCAAAAGUAGUGGAAAAAAUAUUAAGUGUGAAUUAGCUAAGAUAAAAGAAUCUACCAAAAAAAAAAGCUAAGAUAAAAGUGACAAUACCACCGUGUAAAAGUUAUAAUUAGAUCAUCUAACAAUGUGUACUUUAAUCUAACAAGGUGUUCUAGAAGAACAUCAAUAGUUGCAUGUGAAAUAGUGAAAAAUCUUUAGAAAUGCUCUGGGAUACAAAAAUAAAAACAUUAAGACAUUCAAUAACACUUGAUGAUUUUCUCUAUUUUCUCUUUUAUUGUAUAUUAUAUCAAUUAUUUAUCUUUUUUCUUUCUUUCACAAUUUUAGUGUUUGAUGAGAUAUAUGCACUAUUCGUAUGCUCACAAAUCAUUUCCCUUACUACACAUAUGAUCACCUCUCAGAAAUCAUUACCUAUUACCUUGAAUAAUUUAUCUCACGUUCACUUUUUUUCCAUGUUAUGAAUUAGUCAAUUCAUAAAUCAUGUUUUUACAAAUAAUAUUUAAUGGAUAUUAUUUAUAAUAUGCUCAUUGUGUGCUUUAGCUAUUUUGCUAAAACUAAUUUGAAGAAAUAUUUUUUUAAUUUGUAAAUCAUAUUUUUCAUAAUUCAUGAUAGACAAAGCUUUUUGUAGAGGACAAGUUUAGCUAAAAUCGUCUUAUUUUGGAAGCAGCAGAUCAAUUUCGAAUAAGCUAAAGGAAAGAACAAAAAUGGUCUGUACCCUGAAGGUUGCGGAUCGGAGAAGCAUAGGACUAAUAUAUAUUUGUUUCCUAGCCUGGCAUGAUGUAUCAUGAAAUUGCAUCGAAGCUGAAACCCUCUUACUGAAUGCUGCCAGGGGCCAGUUAGCCACGCUCGUAUACCUCCCAAAUCCCAGUCAGGUUUUGUCAGUAUUGUACACUUCAUAUAAUUGCAAUUUGCAAGUAGCAGUUCUGUGUCUCUCUCUAAACGGAUGAUAUUAAUGAAUUCUUGAUUCAAUAUUAAUAGCUAGUUUAACGAUGAUGAUUAUUCUCAAGGUAUCUUUUAGUCAUAUUUUUCGUAAAUGUGAGAUUUGUUAACAUAUCUUUAAUUAGUUGAUCGAUAUUUGGAGCGUAAGUUUUUAUAAUUGGACAUAUGUGAAUGAAUCUUAUAGGGGUGGUGUAUUAAAUUGAUAUAGCACCGUAUCAGAAUUCAAGUUAUGUUUGAUUCUAGUCCAAAACUAGUACUCCUUAAAUAGUGCAGCCAGUGAAAUUAUUUAUGAGAACAGUUUUAAUAGGAUCUGCCGAUUUGGUGCAUGGAUCCCGGUAUGAUCCCACCUCUCUGUCUAAGAACAGUUGAAUAUUUUAUUGAGUAGAUUUGGUUUGAUUAAUUACUAUUGAUGGACAGUGAUAUUUGUGACAAGUCCAUACAUCAAUAAACAAAUAUGAGAAUCUCUUAAUUUGUACAGAAUAAUUGCAUGUAGAACGUGAAAUCAGGGAAUCACAAUUUGACACCCCUUCUUCCUCUGGAUUCUUUCAUUUCUGUUUUUUUAAUGAAGUAACUAGUAAGCCACGCAGAAGAUUCAGUAGAACAUUUUGGCCACCCUUUUCCCUGACCCGGGCAAUGGAAGAGUGCAAGAAAUUGAAAACAUGACAAAGUUUAUAAUGUUUUUGUAAUAGGAACUUGUGACAAGAACUUGCGUGAGCAUCCAUAUUAUAAUAGUGCAAUCGGUGGAGGAACAGUCUAGUUGUUAAUUACUGACCAGCAUAUGCCAAACUAAUCCUCAGUCAAAAGGACAACUAUUUAAAAACAUGGUGAACAAGAUAUAUAUGAGCAGACAAAAUCUAACUAAAUGCAUACGAGUGUUAAACUUCUUGGAUGGGGAACACAAUGAAGGCUAGUAUACGGUGGUUCCCGGUUUCGCUCUGAUCUGAGUAGUUUAGUUUUCGCAUAGUAUUACUUUUAACGAUCAUGUUACUAAAUGAACUUAAUAAUGAAAAACUUAAUCCUAUAUGAGAACAUACUUGAUAUGGUCUUUACCUCAUCAAAUAAACAGCAGGACCAACGUUGCAGACAACCAGCAAAGUCAGGGACCAUCCGUGUAAUUAAAUUAGGUGGGGGACUAAAAUCGUGGAAUUGGUAAACGUCAGGGACAAAAGUUGCAAUUAAGCCACAUCUUUAACCUCAUUCUCCCACUCCCGUCGCUUUCUCUCAAUGUGAACCCUAAUCUCUUUCUCCCACCAGAAAUCCUGUACCUCCUCUUCUACUACUUGGCCACUCGUUGUUCAUCUUUGUGCAAGCCCUCUUCGUCCUCUUCGUUCAAUCUCGUGAUUGUUCAAGUCGUUUAGUCAUGCCAUCGCCUUGUCGCUCCUUUGGCCAAUGAUUUUGGUAGAGAGAGAAGAUGAGUAGAGAGAGAAAGACAUGAGAAACAAAGUAGAUUUUUUAAGUUGUUUGGUAUAAUAGAAAGAGAAAAGUAAGAAAUGAGAAAUAAUGACGCGACCUCUCUAUCCCUUACAUUUGGUUGAAUAAAAAUUGAAAAGAGAAAAAAAUAAUUUUAUGUAAAAAAACAUUUUUACUUAAUUAUAUAAAAUAUAAAUGGUAAUUCUUGUGGAAAUUAGGUAAGGAUAUAAAAAAGGGAAGACAAAAAUAACUAACACAAAUCAUCUCCUAACAUGUGUAGGUGAGAAUUUUUUUUUCCCAGCUAAGUGAGUGUGUGGGUGUUACUGAGCUUAAGCUUUGAUUUUUUUUGUCACAUGUGCCUUUUAUUGUCCAUGGUCUUAGUUUGGGCUUACCUCUAACUUUUUUUUCAAACAGCUUGCCUGAUAAGCCAACAUGUUUUUUUUUAAUAGCUUAAGCCCAGUUUUUAAUUAAACAUUCUUUAAAAAAAAAAAUUCUAGCCUUUUUAUUAAUGGCUCGUUUGGUGGUCAGGAUAGGAUAUGAUAGGAUAUGAUAUGUGAACAGGAUAUCAACAGGAUAGGAUAAGAGCAGGAUAAACUCUUAUCAUAUCCUGUAUUUGAGGUGCACAUGAUAAUGACAGGAUAUGAUAAGAAAAAAUGUAUCAGAUUUAUAUUUAAAUAAAAAAUACAUUUAAAAUUGAUCAUUCUAUUAAAUUUAAUUUCUUUACAUUUUCAUGAAUGAGUCUAUAUUUUAAAAUAAAUAAAAUUAAUUUAAAUUUUAUUAAUUAGCCUAUUUUAUUGUUUUGAAGAUGCCCUAUAUGUUAAAUAAAAUUAUGCAGUUAACCGAUUGGUUUUCACUUAGUUGUGACACGUGAUAAUUAACAAUAAAAGUUAAUUAAAUUAAGAAUGUAGGAUAGGAGACAGGAUAGUGUUAUCCAAUCCUAUUGGCGCAACAAACAUCAGAUAACAACAGGAUAUGAUUAUUAUCCUGUCCUAUCCUAUCCUGUCCUGGUCACCAAACGGGACUAUCCUAUCCUACUGGCGCAACAAACAACAGAUAACAACAGGAUAUGAUUAUUAUCCUGUCCUAUCAUAUCGUGUCCUGGUCACCAAACGGGCCCUAAGAGUCAGAUCAAACCAGACCUUUGAGGGACCAAGUUACAGGCCCUAAUGGGUCGCAUGACCUAUUUCCGCUAUAACUAUUACUAUAACAUCAUUCGUUAGAUUUUUCAUAUCUUUCUUUUAUUCAUGGAGGUUAAAUGAGUCUAACCCAUUAUUUCCCAUAAAAAUACAAGUAUAUAUGAAACGAAAAGAAAAUCAAACACAUAAUAUGCUAGCUGUACAUAUUUAUUAGUAUUUGAAGAGAAACUAAGUCAAUAUUUUUCAUCUCUAUAUACUUGUUACAUGUUUGGAUCCUCAUCCACAUAUAAACCUUGCACAAUCAUUCCACCACACAAGAGCAACUCGAAGUAGCUUCUUGCAGAAUCACGUCUUCUUCAAACAUGAAAACCUACUGAAUUUCCAAAUAAACACGCUUGGCUAUAAGGUAAGUUAAAGCUCAGUUAUUUUGAUGGAAGAGAAGCAGGGGCCGCGCCUGACUCUACCAAUAUUGACCAAAGGACAUGCACAUCAUCACAAGGGCAGGACUUCACAUCCUUAUAUAAGAUGUAUAUUCCUCUGCCUAAUUUUUACACAAGAAACCGAAUAAAAUAAGGUAAUAUCAUAAUUAAUGAUAUGAAUAUAUGAAAGUUGUUCGGUUGAUGAACAAAGAAUGUGAAAUAAUGUAAUCAAAGGAGAAAAUCACAAUGCAAAUGUUCUCAAAUUGAAGGAAGAACAGGAACUCUCAUAUAGAAGCAAAAUGACACAAUAUCAAUAGCAUAUAGUUCAAGACAGAAUCAUAAUGUUAGUAGAUUUUGAUCAAUUUCUCUUCUCUCAAAAUUAAUUUUGAAAUUCAAAAACUACUUACAUUAAGCUUCUUCUCAUAAUUGAUUCUGACUUUAGAAUCAACAAUGGUAGAAGGAUUUUCAAACAUGCAUACACAUUAAUGUGUUUAAAAUUGAAAUUGGAAUACAAGCUUACGCUUUUUAUGGCUUGAGUGAAGCCUAUCCCAGAGCUUCUUCAGUGGGCAGAGGAAGGAUUGAAGCCAUCCCAUUUGGUUGAUGUGCUACAAUUUUGGCUCUUAGUUUGGAAGAGGCAAGUUUAAACAAGGAAGGGUUGCUUGGAGCAUAGUGACUUGAAUAGUACUACUUCUCAUGUAAUUUACCACCAAAUUCCUUUUCAGUGUAAUCAUGCAAGAAAAACAUGCCAUCUCGGUGCUAUGUCUCUGUCACGCACUUUCUCUUAUGGUAGGAGCUAAACCCAUGUGUAUAAAAACUAAAAAGUAAUUCUUUCUAUGACAUUCACGCUUUCAAACCAUCCUACAUUUCAACGUACACAUUGAACUUAUUAGUGAAGCUAAAGAUUUCUUUACUAUUUUAUGCCUACUUGGUUUCUACGCAUUUGGUGGGUUUAAUUUCUUCAAGUGGUAAAACUCUACUCUUCUGGAUGAUGUGAUGUAGUUAUACACAAGAAACAACUAAAUUUGUUACGUAGCGGGAAAUUAUGACUCCAGAAUCCACAUCCACAAAGUUUUAAAUGUAUCCGCCACUGAUUGGCAGAAUAGGAUAGGAGACAGGAUAGUGUUAUCAUAUCCUGCUGGCGCAACAAACAACAGAUAACAACAGGAUAUGAUUAUUAUCCUGUCCUAUCAUAUCGUGUCCUGGUCACCAAACGGGCCCUAAGAGUCAGAUCAAACCAGACCUUUGAGGGACCAAGUUACAGGCCCUAAUGGGUCGCAUGACCUAUUUCCGCUAUAACUAUUACUAUAACAUCAUUCGUUAGAUUUUUCAUAUCUUUCUUUUAUUCAUGGAGGUUAAAUGAGUCUAACCCAUUAUUUCCCAUAAAAAUACAAGUAUAUAUGAAACGAAAAGAAAAUCAAACACAUAAUAUGCUAGCUGUACAUAUUUAUUAGUAUUUGAAGAGAAACUAAGUCAAUAUUUUUCAUCUCUAUAUACUUGUUACAUGUUUGGAUCCUCAUCCACAUAUAAACCUUGCACAAUCAUUCCACCACACAAGAGCAACUCGAAGUAGCUUCUUGCAGAAUCACGUCUUCUUCAAACAUGAAAACCUACUGAAUUUCCAAAUAAACACGCUUGGCUAUAAGGUAAGUUAAAGCUCAGUUAUUUUGAUGGAAGAGAAGCAGGGGCCGCGCCUGACUCUACCAAUAUUGACCAAAGGACAUGCACAUCAUCACAAGGGCAGGACUUCACAUCCUUAUAUAAGAUGUAUAUUCCUCUGCCUAAUUUUUACACAAGAAACCGAAUAAAAUAAGGUAAUAUCAUAAUUAAUGAUAUGAAUAUAUGAAAGUUGUUCGGUUGAUGAACAAAGAAUGUGAAAUAAUGUAAUCAAAGGAGAAAAUCACAAUGCAAAUGUUCUCAAAUUGAAGGAAGAACAGGAACUCUCAUAUAGAAGCAAAAUGACACAAUAUCAAUAGCAUAUAGUUCAAGACAGAAUCAUAAUGUUAGUAGAUUUUGAUCAAUUUCUCUUCUCUCAAAAUUAAUUUUGAAAUUCAAAAACUACUUACAUUAAGCUUCUUCUCAUAAUUGAUUCUGACUUUAGAAUCAACAAUGGUAGAAGGAUUUUCAAACAUGCAUACACAUUAAUGUGUUUAAAAUUGAAAUUGGAAUACAAGCUUACGCUUUUUAUGGCUUGAGUGAAGCCUAUCCCAGAGCUUCUUCAGUGGGCAGAGGAAGGAUUGAAGCCAUCCCAUUUGGUUGAUGUGCUACAAUUUUGGCUCUUAGUUUGGAAGAGGCAAGUUUAAACAAGGAAGGGUUGCUUGGAGCAUAGUGACUUGAAUAGUACUACUUCUCAUGUAAUUUACCACCAAAUUCCUUUUCAGUGUAAUCAUGCAAGAAAAACAUGCCAUCUCGGUGCUAUGUCUCUGUCACGCACUUUCUCUUAUGGUAGGAGCUAAACCCAUGUGUAUAAAAACUAAAAAGUAAUUCUUUCUAUGACAUUCACGCUUUCAAACCAUCCUACAUUUCAACGUACACAUUGAACUUAUUAGUGAAGCUAAAGAUUUCUUUACUAUUUUAUGCCUACUUGGUUUCUACGCAUUUGGUGGGUUUACUUUCUUCAAGUGUUAAAGCUCUACUCUUCUGGAUGAUGUGAUGUAGUUAUACACAAGAAACAACUAAAUUUGUUACGUAGCGGGAAAUUAUGACUCCAGAAUCCACAUCCACAAAGUUUUAAAUGUAUCAUCUCUUAAUAUGUACUUUAAAAUGUAUAAUAGAGAGUAGCUAAUAGUUGAAAGAUUUCUAGAUUAAAACGUGCAAUUCACAUGCCAAACUUGUCUACAAUUUGAAGGAAGGAUUCUAAACAAGUAAACAUAUGGCUUUCAACUUUCUACUAAUCCCUUCCUCAUUUUUCUCUCCUUUGUUAACUUUUUUAUCCAAACCUUAAGAAAGAGAUGAAACUUAAUCUCUAUUUUCUUUGGUAAUCUUUCCAAAAGAUUUUGUGAAAUUGUUAGGCUUUUUUUCCAAUAAAAUUAUUAAUUCACGCUCUUAGGAAAACUAACAUGGUGGUGUACUUAAAUUCAAGAGAUAUAGUGAAAUAUAUGGAGUGGGUGUGAUGUUAUAUUAGCUAUUGUGGUUGUGAUGUUAUAUAGUUAGGUGUCUGACAUGGGGUUCAAUAUGAAAUGCGCUACAAGACCAACAAUUUGAUAGGAGAGUAGCAUCUAUAUAAUAAGUACUAAACAUAUAUAUUUUUCAUCUGCCCAUUAGUUUUUUCUUCUUAAUAUUCUAUCAGAAAAAACUAUUAUUUGAAUAAUCACAUUUUGAAUGAGGCAUAAUCAAAUCUUAAAAUGAUAGAUCUGGCCCGAAAAAAAUUCUCUUUCAUAUAUUGUAUAUUUUACUUAGUAGAGUUUGUAACACGUAAGUAUCACACUAAGUCCUAUGAACAAUUAUGGUUCUUUUAAAUUGUGGACAAGAAAAAAACAAUAGUUCUUUUCAAAAAUUGGCAUAUUUACAUUUUUUUGACAUCAUAAGAGUAAUUAUAUGAGUUUAAUGAAUAUGCACUAACAGUGUAAAAUAGUUUUACACAGACAUCCAAUUGAAUUCCGCCAAAUCAGAAAAUAUCUUAUUCUUUUAAUUAAAAUUAAAGUCAAAUGUAAUUAUCUCUCCUAUGUGACAUGCUUUGAUUAGAUGACUGUGUAAAACUAUUUUACACUGUCAGUGCAUAUCCAUUAAACUCUAAUUAUAUUGCAGAAAAUUAAUUGUUAUGUAAUAAAAUAACUUCAUUAAAAUAACACACUUUUUGUCAAAAAAUAAUAUACUCUGGAAAAAAGAAUCAUCACAGGAAAGGUCUUGAAAAGCGGCCCGGUAAAGGCCCAGGAACAACCAAUUGGGCUGUUCAAAUCCUAGCCCAACUUUUGACCAACAGCCCAACCUCAGUUGUUCAUUUUUAUUUUCCCUCUAUUACACUAUGGGAGAACUGCUCUUCUUCUGAUUCUACAGCAUUAUAUUUGGAUCUUUACAAUAGGUCAAAGGAAAAUUUAUAAUAAAAUUAUGUAACAUGACCUCUAUCUUCUUUUGGCAUGCAUACCAAGCAAUGUGAGAAUUGUUUUAUCAUUACAAUUAUCUUCAACAAUCUACACCUUGAUUAUAAUAGAUGUUUAUUCUACCUUCAUUGACUACAUCAAUAAUCAUAGAUUUAACUGUCUACAAUGAUAAUAAUUUCACUACACCGAAGAACAAAGUUAGUAAAGAGCUUAAAGUAUAUCGAGUCUAGACUUUUUGAAACAAACAAUUUGGGUCUAUUGACCUCUCUCGUCUUUUACCAUCUUAGGUUAUGUGAGACUUCUUCAAGAUGUUCCAUUGACUUUUUGCUUCUUUUACCAUAUUAGGAAGUGUGGAACCAGCUACAUUCAUUAAAAUUGACCCAACAAUCUAGAUCUUAAAUAUAAUGGAUAUAUCUUACACUUUCAUUGUCUACACCAAUAAUUAUACCUUCCAUUAUUUACACGACAAUCAUCUCACAACCCUCUAAAACAAGAGUUAAAGAGAAAUUAAGAUCAAAGUUAAAAACAAGAUUAUAGAUAAAGCUUGAAGUAUUUUCAAUUGAUGCAUCUUAAAACAAGAAAAUAAGUGUAUAUAUAUUAUAUAAUCUUGACCUCCCUUAUCUUUACCGUCUUAAGCAAUGUGAGACUUCUCAAAGUUAUUUUAUUUGCACCCAUCUUCCUUUACAUGCUAUGUAAUGUGAGUAUUGUUCUAUCAUUAGUUAUUAUAAUAAACUUCAACAAUCUUCAUUUUGAUUAUAAUGAAUGUAUUUUCCGUCAUUACUGUCUACAUCAAUAAUUAUAUCUUUUAUUGUUUACACCGAUAAUUAUAGUUCAUAUUUAUUGGUGGUUGAACUUCCAUGAAUAAUUAGAUCAAUAUGCAAAGAAAGCAAAGAAAAAUGGGUUUCUUAUAAGUUUUGGAGUUGGCGUCCAUGCCAGUAUUUAUCAGUGCGAUGGGAACUUUUAUGGGAAUUGAAUAUUUUCAUAAUCUUCUUUUAGCAGAGUUUCAGAAAUCUUUAAACAAGGUAAGAGAUGAAAACUAUAAAAUGUACUAAAUAUACCCAAGUUUCAAUGCUCACUCAUCCAUUCCUUUCCUUAAAGAACAAAAGAGGCAAAUUCUGUGUUGUCCUAUGUAGGGUAAAAGUGACAUUAAGGUUCCCUAGAAUGACAAUGUUCUAAGAUAGCUCAGAUUUCAGUCUUCAAUAUGUAACACCUAAUAAUCAAAUCCCCAUAUAUACACUCUAGAGAGGUAAGGUUCCUCCCACAAAUAAUGUUUAGCAUCAAAUAGAAAUUUCUUACAUUGGCAUAGAAAAGAUCAUGGGAAAUGAUAUUGUAUACCAUAUAGUUAACCAAAUGAGAAUACCAGGGAACUUAUGAAAUUGCCAUCAACUUCUCAUACGAGAAAGUCUCCUUUUUAAUCUCUAUACUCUUGAGAGGUGAUAUAAGCUCAGUUUCUUUCUUAUAUUGAAUCUAAAUAUGAAACUCAUAAGAAGUGAAAUACUGAAAUCUAUAUGAUUAGCCUGGGUUUGAAAUCUUAUUUGGUUAACAAAUUUUAAAAGCUGAAUAGGAAGUGUAAACACUAAACAAUAACCUUUGUUUUCUUCUUCCUCCAAAAGCAAAUUAUUUCUCAAUCUUACUCGAUCAGCAAUGAUCUUCUCCUGUGCUGAUCAAAAUUGGACGUUUCUCUCUGACAAAGCAACUUUGGCCUGAUAUAACACAUAAAAAGACUUGGUGUGACCCAAAACAACAAUUGGAUCUAUAAUUUCGAGCAAAAAGUUGGAUGCCAGAAAAUUAAAAAUAAAAUUAAAAUUCACAUGAUAUGUUCAUUGUUUAUGCUUCUGUGACCUUUGCUGUUGACAUUGGAUGACUAGGAACUUUUCAUCACAUGGGGAGAGGCUAGGUAGGGCCAAUCAAAGAUCUCAAUGUCAAAAUCAUUGCUCUCAAAUCCAUGCAAUCGAACAAAACGCAUAAAAGUAUGAAACCCAUCAUUGAUGUGAUUAAGAACGCUUGAUUGCAACAAUGUAGAUGCAUGCUCUUAUUACCGUUAAGGUGGGGGACAGAAAUACUUAAUUUCAUCAAAGUUAUUUAUCCUGUAUAUGCUUUAUUUCUCCGAUGAUGAUUCAUGGACAUAGAGGGUUAGACGACACACAAGCGAUAUAGAUAUAGGUAAAUUGUGACGGUUUUUAAACAAUCAUAAUCUAUAGAGUAUUUAAAAAUAAUGAUCUUGACGGUUUUAGAACACUGUAGGAAUCACUACAAAUUUAUGUGUUUAUUAGAGAAAGGUGAAAACCCUGGGGAACAGGUUACCUACUCUUAACGAUCAAAGCUAACCCUUUCAUUCCGAAUUCUUUUAUUCGGAAUGAAUCAAAUCUCCCCAAGUAGGAUUCGAAUUUCGUGUUUAGCAAUAAUAAAAGUCACUACUAAACGCUAUGCCGAUUGAAUGUCGCUCACUUCCGGUUCCAUGGACUUUUUUUUCUCUAAUACUAUGAUACACCACUACUAACAGUAACACUGACUCUAGAGAAAGGAUAAUUUAACCUGAGUUUACACGCAAUGUUUUGUCUGGUAGUGUUUAUCAUUAUUCCAUCUCCUUUAAUCAUCCCAUCCUCUUUUUUGUUUGCUUUGUCUAUUUAGUACAGUGUAUGAGAUGUUUUUUUUUUACUUAAAUGAACUGUACAUAGAUUUCUAAGUACUGUUUAACUGUGGCUUUAUAUUUAUGAUUGGUUUUGUGCACGAUUUUUAAUUUUAAGCUAGACCCACAUAUUAAGGACAAUUAGUGAAGAACAUAAUUGGAAGAGGCUAACUAGUAAUGGAAACCAAAUAAGUGUCACUGAAUGAUAUAUAGGUUCUUUGCUUUCACUCAAUUCUGAAGUUGAUAGAUCCUGAACAUUUGUUACUGACUUACUGUAUAGCAAAAUCAGUUUCCUAUUGAGUGAUUCUUCAUGUCCGUCCAUUUACCUGUUGUUCUUUGUGACCAAUCCUAGUAAAAAGUCAGUCAUGGAUGUCGUCUUAUGUCCUGUCAAUCUGUCAUGUAGUUUGUGUCUCACACUAGCUAUUGUGUGCAAUAUUUCCUGGAAUAGUUACAUUAACAUAUUCAUCCAUCUUUUCGUAAAUAUUAGAAAGGCAGGCAUUUCACCACAUUCUGCACUCCUGCGAGCCAGUUGUACAUUAGUAAUUUUAUGAUUAAUCAUGAGCAAACACUGCAAUGCUUACAUCAUCAUUCUACAUAAUACUAAUUGACAAUAAUUUUGGGAUAGAUAACCAUAGCAUAAAAGCUACUAACAGUUAUGGUUGGACAGCUCCAGGCCUAAUAAAAGUCAUAUUAGAGUCUCAUAUUUUUAAUGUGAAACUUAAGUCUAAUUAUAACAUCUCUGAAUAUUUAUAAUAAAUACAAUUUGUUAUGUAAUAAGAGAGAAUUUGGAUGUGAUUCAUGGAGUAGUGUGACACUGUGACACAUCAAGUGUGCACACACGCCAUGACCAUUUAAAUCCUCUAUAUUGACUGUGUAGUUCUCAUGCCACUGAGUCAUUCCAAUUUGGUGGUUAUCCAUUUAUGAUUGAAACCAAAAAAAAGAGGCAAAAUUGAGGAGAUAAGAUAACACAUGCCAUGCAUUCUAUCUACUAUGCAAGAGUUUUGGCUGUAUACGAUUUCCAAAAUGAUGAGAGAAAAAAACUUGUCAUUUGAAUUUAACAAUAGUAUCUUUGAUCAGCUAUUAAAUAAAAAAAAAAUGAAUCCACAAAAAGUAAACAAAUAAGUAGCUUGUAAAACCAAGAUAUGAGCUACGAAAACUGUCAAACAGAAAAGAACAACUGAGAAAUCACUGUGGCAGCAUAUGUUAGUGUGGCCCUUUCUCCUCCAACUUAUACUUACAGGGAAGAGAAAAAAGCUUGGCUAGUCAAACAGUGCCUUAAAGUCCAGAGCAGUUAGCCUGUCCAUGAUUUAAUUGUGCCUUGGUGGGGCACCUAAUCCUUGGAUUGGUUAGAGCAAUAUAUGAUCCAUUAUAUCAUGGGAUUUAUUAUUGAUCAUGAUGGUAAACAACAUGAGGUUGACAUAUUUUUUUUGUCUUUUGACAAAAUAAACUCCUUUGAGAAAUUGUAUCAAACACUUCUAAUAAACUAAAUGACUUUUUUAAAUUUUGGACUUAAUUAUAAAAAUCUAGCUCGUAUACCAGCCACUAAUUAACACUUUGUUGGUCCUGCAAUUUCACAAUUUGCCAAGCUCAAGAGUGUGUUAAAAUAUUUAGCCUAUGAAACUUGUUUCUAAUCAAAUAGAUAGUUAUAACUAUUACCAAACUCAACUUUGAUUGUCUUAGACACAAUUGUGCCCUUUACUUAUGGGAAAGGUCACAGCUGGAUGGUUGGAUAACCCUGAUCAAAAUAGUAGCUGACGACUUAAAAAAAGUUGUUGAAGUAUUUUUGCUUAUAUCUUUAAUUGCAAAAUAUGAUCCACGAAAAAGUCAAAUUUGUUCUCUUGAAUAGACUUAUUCUAAAUAUCUAAAAUUUAUUCAUAUAACAAAAACCUGCUGAUAUACUUUAACCAAAUAGUUUAAUAAUUUACAUUUCUCUCUAAUAAAAGGAGUGCAGUAGUGAUUAAAUAUUGAAAAAUGCAAUACACACACCGAUAUAUAAAUAGCAUUUCGAAUCUGCAUACCUUAUUUUAUGACUUAAAUAUAUAAAAUGUCUUAUUUUUUCAUAAAUAAUAUUAUACCAGUUGAUACAGACAAGAAGUGACGUGUAAUCGUGCAUGCACGAAGGAUUAUUCUUAAAUAUCACGUUUAUUUCUAUUGCUUUUAAUCAUUUUAUUGCAAUUAUUUUCAACAGUUUACCUAUCACAGCAGGGACAUAAUUAUAAUUUUCAAAAAUUGGCUUUCAUCAUUUUUUUAUUUUUAAAAGAGGAAUAGGAAACCUGUAAGGAUAAUGUCACAAGUUUGAACCUCGACAAUGUCAUCUGUUAAAAAUGAUGAAGACACAAGUUCGAACCUAAAAAAUGUCAUCGGUUAGAAGUAACAUCUACAAUUUUCUAAAUGAAUUUAAAUCCAUCAAAACGCCUAAAAAAUUAAAAAGAAAGAUAGGGACAGCAAGAUGACUCUGUAUAAAACAAAUACCAGCCUCAGCAGCUAAUACAUACAUACCCACUUGCCAUGCUUCAUGCUCAUUCCCAUCCUCUCUACUCUAGGCUUUAUCCAUUGCUUCACUUUUCUUGGUACCCCAUGUGCUAAAAGCAACUUCUCUUUUCCAAUAAUCUUCCCUUUAUGUAAAUUCCCUGCAAUUUUCAAAUCAGACAUUUUGGUUUUUACUUAGUAGCCUCAUCAAUCCAUAAAAUUGACACUUCGAGUAAAUUUCACUCUUUUUCUGUCUCUCCUUAACAAGAAACAAAUGGUUCUUUGUGGUGUUCAACUGGAAUUAGCUGAUGUGUAUAAUAAGUCCUUUCUAUUUAUAUGAUCAUUCAAGUCACCUUCUUUCAGCAGAUAAAUAGAUAAAGAUCAAAGAUUCUAGAAAAAACUUCAGAAAAUCUGCUGCUGCUGCUGUCUGUCAUGAAGGAGUUUCCAUCUUGUUUUGGAGAAAAUGGUGUUCAGGUUGUGGAUUCAUCUUCUUCAAGUACCACAAGAGGAGCUCAAAAUGUGGUUACUUGUAUCUAUCAGUGUAAAUUACAAGGUCGUUCAUGCUUGAUCACAGUCUCUUGGACCAAAUAUCUGAUGGGUCAAGGGUUAAGUGUGGGAAUAGAUGAGUUGGGAAAUCAUUGCCUCUGCAAGGUUGACAUAAAGCCAUGGUUGUUCCAAAGAAGAAAAGGGUCUAAGAAUUUGGGAGUUGAAUAUGGUAAAAUUGAUAUACUUUGGGAUUUGAGUUCUGCUAAAUUUGGUUCUGGGCCAGAACCAUUGGAGGGAUUUUAUGUAGCAGUUUUGUUCAACAAAGAGAUGGUGUUACUCCUAGGUGAUCUGAAAAAGGAGGCAUGCAAGAAGAUUGAGCAUCACAGGGUUAAUGCUCACUUUGAUCAUGCUAUUUUUCUUGCAAAGAGAGAACACAUUUUUGGUAAGAAAUUUUACAGUGCAAAGGCUCAAUUUUGUGACAAGGGUCAAGUGCAUGAUGUGAGAAUUGAGUGUGACACUCUUAAUGAUCCUUGUCUUGUGAUUCGAAUUGAUAGCAGGACAGUGAUGCAGGUGAAGCAACUCAAUUGGAAGUUCAGGGGGAAUCACACCAUUUUGGUGGAUGGAAUUCCAGUGGAAGUGUUUUGGGAUAUUCAUAAUUGGCUCUUUGGAAAUACUAUAGGAAAUGCAGUUUUCAUGUUCCAAACCUGCAUUUCAACUGAGAAGGGCCAAUCUGCUUCUGAUCCUUCUGUUCUGAAAUGGGCUUAUUCUCAUGAGUUCAGGGAUUCCCAGUUGCAAGGUCUUGGAUUCUCUCUCAUUUUGUAUGCUUGGAAAAAUGAAUAGUCAGUGGAAGAGUUUUAAUCUUAUUCUUGAGUACUAAUGUGUUAUUUCCAGCCACAGUUUUCAACAAUCAUGUGAUCAGAUAUUUAGAUUACAUGAAACUGCUAAAUCCAUCCCUGCCCUUCUAUAUUAUUUCUUGUUCUCUUUUUCCUUGUAUAUACCAGCUCUUUAGUUGGAAAAAUAGUGAAUCAAAUUCACGACUCAGCUUGCAACCUGCCGUUGUUCUGAUCCAGUUUGCAUCGUACAUCCUUCUUCCCCAACAUCAUUUCCCUUCUAUUAGCACUUCUGUAAUCUCUUUUAGCAGUUACUAAAUUUCAGAAUCUGUUUCUUGCAGAAAAUGGUUAUUAGAUAUAUGGUUUACAAAUAUCUGAAAGGUGUGUGCAACACAAACUUUCUAAGUGUUAUCAUUGUUGAAAACAAGCUUUUGUUUCAUAGAGAAAAGAACAAACAUUGCAUAGCAGCUUCAUGGAAUUUCAGAUGUUUGACAGUUUAACUAUAAGUACAAGCUUCUAAUGUUUGUUUUCAAUAAUCACUGAAAAAAUAAUAGCAUGAUGAUAUUGGACAAGACUGAACUCCUGCUGAAAGUUCCACUUCGACAAUACUAAAGAAAUUCAAGUUUUCAUCAACUCUUUUCUCAGCCAUUUGGAGAACCUCUUUCUAUUCAUUCAAAGGAAAAAGUGAAUGCAUAAAAGAGAUUUUCUUACCUCCUAACUCGGAUGAUUAAGGCAAUAUUCGGAUACCAUAGCACCAAAUGAAUGUUGACCCUUACUUCAAGACAAAGUUAACAAAACUGUUCUUUUAAUUUGUGAUAAAAUCGUUUAUGUCACACUUAAUUGUUAUCGAAAUACACUAAAUAUUUAGGGUAGAUAUCUUGAAAGAGCUAUUAAAUGAUCAAGUUAUACCCUUGGGAAGAAAAGUCAACUCUAUUUUUUCAUGAAUUCUGUAAUUGAUUUAUUAAGAAAGAGAUAAUAUGAAUUUCAUAUCAUAAUUGCAUUUUUUCCCUACAAACCAUCUUUGGAUGAGACUCAGUGGUAAGAGUAGUUGUCAACUAUAUCUGUUUUCAAAUAUUUUUCCUUAGUACUGCAGUCCAGGGAAGAAUGAAAGUGCUUCUAAAUGAGUUUGUCUUCCACCCUAUUGAUGGCUUCAAAGUUCAAACUAAACAAACUUAAUUCUUGACUCUGCAAUAAAUUGUUUGACUGCUUUUUGCCUUUUUCUUUUUAAUGCUAAACUGAAAAUUUAGCUUCCCUUUCCUUUCGCUUUUAACUUCUAUUCAAUGUAGCAUCUCCAAGCCCUUCUUUUUAAACCUCUGCUAAUUCUGGACCAAUGUUGGUGCACAAAGCUAUGAGUAUGCUAUACUUGACAGAUAAGUAAGUGCAACAUAGCUCUUGCAGAGAAAUGUUAAUUUUCAUAGAUUCUAUGAACAAUUCUCAAAAACUAAUCUAACCAAAUCAUAGGUUAGCACAAGUGUGCCCAAGAAUGUGAGGACAAGGUCAAAUAUUUAUACUCCCAGGGUGUUAAUUGUCAAGACUUGUACUUUAACCUCUGAUCUCCAAGCCAAUUUACAGUAAUGUGAGAGAAGGCCUUAACAGCUACUAUUCUGCAAUUGAAUAUGAAAAUACAAGCAGAACUGCAGAAGCAGAGAAGAGAAAACAAGGGAGGUGAAAAGACUAGCAGAACAUAGGAGUAGGAAUGAUUCGAAUCACUGCUGCUUGCUUUGGCCAAAUGUGUCUUCAAAACCAUUUGUAACUCUUUUUCUGCGCUCAGCAAUCAUCUCUGAGUAUCCCUGACAAUGAACAAUAAAUAUUAUAUGUUUAACUUUAAGAUCAGUUAUCUUGUUUAUUUUUCUAUUUUCUGCCCAGUUUCAACUGAAUGUAAUUGCAGCAGAACCUACUCCCAGAUUCGAAAUAUCAUUAUUAAAGUGGCAAACAGUCCAAAGUACGGUAAGUCCACAAGCUACACUUAGAGGCUUCUCCUCAUAAGUGAUUAUGGAACUUUAAACCGCAGAGGCGCAGAACCAAACACAAUGUACGUAGAACAUGGGUGAUUUGUGGGAAUAUCUUGCAUCCCAUUCUUCCUAAUUUAGAGAAAGACGCGAAUGAGAUCAAUAUAAAUAUCUGACAUUGACCUGAACAAAUCUAUACAAACCAAAAUUGUUUCAUUGUGGCUAAACCUGGCAUGUAUAAGUGUGGGGGAAAUCAUGAAAUUUUUAUCAUUGCAUGUGCAUCCCCAAAGAGCUUCAGGGUAACCUUAAAUACCUAUUGGAUAUUAAUAACCUCAAUAACAUACAAACUAACUGAUAUUCCUAUCCCAAAAAAAAAAUCACUAAAACAUAACUUCUUUUCAAGGUAGAGCAGAACUUGUAUGAUGAGAUAACUAUUAUGUGCCAUAAAGCAGAACAUGCUUAGAAAGAACAAGAAAAAUUUAAGUAAAAUAGAUAGUGUAGAUGAUAUCAAACCUUAGGGUAAGAAUACAAGAAGAUGUACCACCAUGCUCCUAUUAGUAGUGAUAUGAAUGAAGUGACAAUCACUGAUUGCAAAACUAACCAGCUAAUGCCAAUAAUUAAUACCCCUGUCAGUGUAAUUGUCCAUGGCUGACACCUAUACAAGAAAAUAUGAGAAAUGAUGAACAAAUAAACUAAGGCAAGCAUAAACAAAACAACUUCCAAACAAGGAAUUAGUACAGUUGAAUGGUUCAAUAAAUAGCCUAAUAGCAUGAACAGGUACUUCAUUCAUCUGUCAUUAUAAUAACAACCACGUGUUAGGAAACUCGUUUAAGCCAAAAUCAUGAUGGACAUAAGCAAAAGCUUAGGAAGUUAUUUCUAUCUACCAUGAUUUUAGCUUCACCGCAGUUCUCAAACAUGCACUUGAGCAUAUACAACAAAGAGAGUACAAAUCCUACACAAAACAUACAUUAAAAGUACAAUAAUUUUAGUCACAUUAAGCCCAGAAUUACAAAAUUCAUGGUUUAGUUUUUUAUAUUUAAUUGAAAAAAAUGAUUUUUUUGCAUAUUGGGGUCACAAACAAACACAUGAGAUAGGAUAGGAGUGAAAUCAAUGAAACUUGAAAAAUGGGGAAAAACUGACCAAGAAGGUUUAGUGUCCCAGACAGAGUCAUACUCGAGGGAGAGUUGAUUGAGGUAACCCUCCAUAUCUUCGACCACAUUUUUUUCUUCGAAGAACAAAGGGUCUUCUGAGUCGGUGGGGUUGUUGAAACCAAAGACUAUGGUUUUGUUGUGGGGUUUUACGGAGGAAUUGAAGGAAGAAGAAGAAGAAGAAGAAGAAGAAGACAACAACGUGGGAUUGGAGAAAUGGGUUUGAUGAGUUGUUAGAGUACGAGGUCGAUGGAGGAGAAGAAAUGGCGACGCCAACAGUGACACUGUCGUCAUUUUAAGCAGUUCUUUUUGUUUAUCUGAAAGAAAAGCUUCAAUGAUGCUGCAAAAUAAAAUUAAAUGCCAGGAAUAAUUAUUCAUUGCAAAAUUAAUUGUUAAAAUUGUGAUAAAUUAAUUAAGGGUGUUAUCUUUAGUGCGCUAGAAUUUAGUUUCUCGUGCGUAGCAAAGUUGCAUUUUAGUUUCUACACUAUUGAAUUAGUUGAUUUUAGUCAUCGUCUCAAUCUUAGCUUAGGCGAAAUGCUCACGUGUCCAAUGACGGCUUAUGUGGCACGCCUCAUCACAUGUCAUCUCAUGUGAAAGAUGGCGUGAGAGUGAGAGAUGACGUAAUGAGCGACGUGUCAUUGAGGACUAAAAAUCAAAUUUUAUGAAAUUUAGAUGGACCAAGAACCCUAUUUAGUCUAUUGAAUUAGAUUUUUUUUCCCAACAUUCAUACUAUUUUCCCCCAACCUUAGCGGAUUUCACCAUAAACACCAAAAUCCGAACUCCAAUUUUUCCUCCAUGACAUGUUCUACCUCAACAAUCUUUGCCCCGCCACCCGAACCCUCUUCACAACCACGCCCUUAUGUCUCUACUCAUGUUGAUUUGUUCAUUUAGGCUGGAAUAUGAAACUAUCAUCAACCCCAAAGUCACUCUCAUUUUCACUAUUACCAAAGUGAGCAUUAACAGUAGGCACACCAUCACUUAUGUACAUAACUUGACCAGUUGUGCUUAGAAGGCUUCACAAUAGCCAUCAACCUUGAGAACCUUCUAACUUUGUCCCCUUGCCCAAUAGUAACAUUUCCUCUACAUGUCUCCUUCCUUUUUCCUCCCACGACACAUUUCUUCUUGUACCAACAAUCUCUAUCUUUUUACUCCCAACAUCAACCCUCUUCAAUUUUACCUCUAGCAUCAGCCCCACCACAUUCAUUUGCACCUUGUCCCUCAACCUCUUUCUUUUUUACCUCAUAGCAACAACCUCUUCAUUUGUUCCCUGCCCCAAACCCUUUUCUUUUCGCCCCCAUCACUAGCUUCUUCACUUGUUCGUUUCCCCUUAGUCGCACCCCUCUUAGUCAGUUUAUACUCACACCUUCACAUUCGACUAGGGUUGGUAAAAGCAAGUAACUUGAAGCAUUUGACAUUUCAUCAACUUCAUGUUCAAGAAAUAUAGAAACUUCAACCUUGUUAUACAUGGCAUAUAUAUCCAGCAUCAUAACAUCAUUAUCACUCAACAACUCUCUAAACUUGCUCUAAAUUGCAUCUUCAUUCGUUCUCCACCAUAACAUAAACUUCAUAUCAUACCUUAGAUCUUCACCAAAUCCAAACAUUAGGAAAAAAAAUGACCACAUGUCAAUAUCCAACCUAUGGAUAUCAUGAAUCUCACCUACCCUGCAAGACAAGUUAGACUCAUGCACAAAAGACCGUAAAUGGUUCACCGCUACUGUAAAAGUCAUCCUACAAUAACAAUGACGACCAUGAUCAGUAUUUGAACAUGAUUUUAUCAAUGGCGACUGAGUAUGUGACGUACCUUGCACAGAUGAGUAUUUGAAACCGUAAAGAUGCCAUAAGCUCUCCGAUAAUGACGAACGAGAUACGAGAUUGAAGAAAACUCAAAUGCUUCACAACAACAAUUGCGAUCAAUAGAGGGAAAGUGAUGACAAGGUUCUUGAGGCUUUUUUGUUUUCAUCGAGGCGAGAAAAUCGAGGGACAUACAACCUCAAACCUUUUUCUUGUAUCAAUUUUGCAAAAAAUUAGGUUAGUGUAAUUUGGGAUUGAUUUAGGGUUAGAUAAGUUAAUUAGGGAUUUAAGUGUUUUAAUUGGUUGAGGUAUAAUUUACUUAAACCCACUCGGGUUCUGGAUACGACGCAGCUGCUAGCCCGGCCUGUUCCAGCGGCGCCUCCUCCCUCUCCGGCCGCGCCUCCUCUUCUCCACUGCUGCGGUGCUCGUUUGGCCUCUUCAUCAAAGGUAAGAAUUCUGCAAUUUUUUGGCCUCUACUCGUGUUGCUUCUGCUCGUUUUGGCCUCUGCUUGUUUCUUCUGCUAUUGGCUAAAUUUUCCCUGCUCUGUUUGUAUUCUGCAAUGUGGAAAACACCCCUUCCUAUUUUUUCCUUAAGCUCCCUCUCCAAUGCCUGUUGCUUCGACAUGGUUCUAUAAUAUAAGUACUUAUUCUAGUUUUAUGCUUUAAAGAUUAAACUGUGUAGUGAGUUAAGUUAUGUGGAAAGUUGAUUGCAUAAUUUGUAUUUAAUUUAUGUAUAAUCAAUUUUUUCGUCUUGUUAGAUGCAUCAAUAAGUGUGUGAUGAGUUCUUAAGUUGAUUGGGUUGGAGUGAUGCUGGUGUUAGAUUGUUCUAUUGUUAGCAGGUUUAAAAUCAACAAAAAAAAAAAAUGAAACUUUAGGUGGUUAAUUGCUGAAGUUGGUGUUUUGAAAAUGGAUUGAACUCACGGGAUGGUAUUGUACUAGCUAAUUGUGCUUUGGUAUUGAAGUUUCAUAUGAAGCGGCCUUUCAUCCAUUGCAGUACCCUUUUGGAGUUAUUUUAUUGUUUUAAUGGCUUAAAAUCUAGUGCUAAUUGGGCUUUAGUGAGUAGGGAACUUAAGCAGAGCUUUAAUUGUUGUUAUUGUUUUACUUGGACGUGCGGUUCAAAGUUCUCUGAUACUUAACCAGAGUUUUAUAUGGUUCGGGAGGAUGAUGAAUUGUCAUGUAGGAUUAUUAGCCUAGUUACUCAUAAGCUUGUUUUACUAUAUCUUAGCCUAUUAGCAUAUAAGCCUUCUGGCCUGUUUAUAAACAACCUUGUUUUAGUAUAUCAUAACUUGCUAGCCUAUUUAAAGGUCUUAUUAUGAAAUGUGCUUUUUAAUAGGUUGUCAGGCCAGACCAGAUCUGAAAAAAAUAAUAUGACAAGUAAUUGGCCAGGCUUGGGCCUUAUAUUUUUAAGUAGGCUAGACCUUUUUACAUAAAUUCCGUCCUGGCUCCUCAAUGGAGAUGUUAGAUACCGCGGUUGACCGUAGCAAACAUGCUAGUAACACUAACAUCACACAUCACUUAGACCAUGUUGCGAAUUUUGAGAGAAAAAAUAAAAAAAACUCGUGUUUCCAAUAGCUUGAAAGUUAUUUUAGAGUAACCUAACUUGCUUUCAAAAGACACUUACUCUGCCUCAUUUAUAAUACAAGGCCUCAGUGAAGAACCCAUCCGGGUCGGGGUGCUCUGCUCUGUUAAGAUGGAAAGCAGCAUGAGCAGCAGCAACAGCAACAACCAGUGGAGAGCUGAGGAAGCAAUUGGUGGCAACACUGAAGCUCUUGAAGCCCUCAGAGAACUCAUCAUAUUCCCUCAACGAUUCUCUCAUGAAGCACGAAAGCUUGGCCUUAAAGUUCUGUUUUCCCCUCCCUUUCUCAUUCAUGUUUUUACUUCUUUUAAUCACAUUGGUCUUGUUCAUUUCUAACCCCUAGUUUGUCUUUUUCCAUUUGAUUUGUUCUUUUCUUCCACCAGUGGCCGAGAGGGUUGCUGCUUUACGGUCCACCAGGCACUGGAAAGGUAUUUUUUUUUUAGAAUAAUGGAUCCCUUUGUUAACUGAUUAACUCAAUAUGGAACGGAUAAUAAGGUGCUAUCUUUGUUCAUUUUCCAUUAUGUUAGUGUGUGUUUUUAGCCAUGUGUCAUCACGUGAAAUGGAGAGCCAUUUUAUGCUGUGUUUAAAAAUUGACUUGGUGGAGUUGUGCUGAUUUGUCUUUUAUUGUUAUUGUUCUACUGCAUAACUUCACAGCCUUUUUUGUCUUCCUCAUUGCAUGUGAGUGACCGUGCCUAGUUGACUAGGUGUUUGUUUGUCAUAACAGAUGGUUUGUGAGAGUUUUGUUAACAAUAUUACGGUUUUACACUUAUGUAUGGAUCUUUUAUUGACUAAAAGAGUAUGUUGAGAGUGAAAGAUUUUCUGUGAGCAAAAGACAAGCUGCUGUGUGAUGAUAAGUUGAACCAUCAAAUGAUGAAGUAGUGUUUGUUAAAUUCAGUUAUACAUAACAGUCUACUAUGCUGCACUCUUUCACAAAGUGCCCAGUGGAGUGGAGCAAAUUCGUUAUUUAAACUUCAUUCAAAUGUGCUGCAUCUGUCUUUCAAAAUCUUCGAGUAACUUAAUGUGAAUAAAAUAAUUAUAUGAUGUUCUCAGAUAGUGUGAUUAUGCUAUGAAUCAAACUUAUAUUUUGCUUUGCUUAUUGAUUUAAAAUGACUUAUACAUAUAUGUCUGUGAAUGUGAUAACAGACAAGUUUAGUACGAGCAGUUGUUCAGGAAUGCGGGGCACAUUUGACAAUUAUCAGGUUCUUUUCUUUUUAAUGUCUAGUUUUGUGGAUCUUUUUUUCCAAAGUUUUAUGAUCCGAGUCAUUUUCUUGUUAUUAAUUGUCUGUUUAUUUUCCAGUCCACACUCUGUUCAUAGAGCACAUGCCGGUGAAAGUGAGAGAAUUCUCCGUGAAGCUUUUUCAGAGGCAUCAUCUCAUGUAGCCUUGGGCAAGCCAUCAGUUAUAUUUAUAGAUGAAAUUGAUUCACUCUGUCCUCGUCGGGAUUCCAAGUAUGGGACAAUUGGUGGAUUAUAUGGAUAAAUUUAAUUGUGAACACAAUUUUAUGAAAAACGAGAAAAUAUAUUAUGAAAACUGUAUCUCAUAAGAAAAAUCUCCAGUCUAUCCACAACAUAUUGCCAUUGGCUUCCCGAAAUAUGUGGUCCUGUGGCUUUAGCUAGUUCUUUAGAAUUUUAUCUAUUCAUGAAGCAAGCUUAUUGAUGCUAUUAUUUCAUAUUGUCUACAUGCAGAAGGGAGCAAGAUGUCCGAGUUGCCUCUCAACUCUUUACGCUGAUGGACUCAAAUAAACCAUCCUCUUCUACACCAGGUGUAGUUGUGGUUGCAUCUACUAACAGGUUAACUAUUUCUUUCCCAAAGAUUAUUUUUUAAUUUAUUGAAAUGGGAGUUAAAGAGGUGUUAUGUCUCUUGGUUCUCUUAUGCAAGUUAUAAGGACCUGUACAAAGAUACACAUAGUUGUAGGAAAAACAGUAGGGGAAGAGAGAAAUGAAGUUUUUAGUUGUUCUGUUAUGGAGAGAGAGGGUUCAAGGAGAAUAUCUCCUUUAGCAGGGCUAUGCCCUAACUGCUGAGAAAUAUCAGUUAACAAACUAUUUUUCCAGCCUAACCAUUUUUUUUUACCAUUCCUGCCCCCCUACUUUUUAAUUUCCCAGCUACUGUUAUAACCAGUAGUAUUAACCCCUGGACUCCUUAUAUUUAUUCCUUUGAAAUAAACUCUCCAGAAAUUUUUUGGUUCUGUCUUGGUGAUCUGGGUUCUUUGAAAUACUGAUUGUGACCUGGAUAUCAGAGAAUAAUUUUGGCCCCUUGCAUGUGAUCCUUGGUUCAUUGAGUAAUUCUUUCAAUCACAUUCUGUCGCAAAGUUCAUGGUUUGAGCUACCACUUUAUGUUUCUUGCCUCUCCAUGUAACCUGAUUUUCCCAUAUAUGGUUAUAAUAGCCUGAGGUACAUCUGCGAUCUUAGAGUUGAUUGGGGCCAGUUCGAAGAUAUAAGUGCACGAAGAAUGGUACAGAAAGUGAGAAAUGGGGAACUAAAAUUCUGUUAUGGAGAGAGGAUACAGAUUGAAUAUCUGUUAGGAGGACAGAAUGGUAUCUGCUCAGAAGAAUAAAGGGAAAAGUAAGAUAAUUAGUUUUGAUAGUUGGAGCAAUUAGUUUGUUAGAGGGAUUAGUUACAUAAGUAAAUCGGGGGGGGGGGGGGGUAAGGGUAGAGACCCUUCUUGUUCUUUCUUUCUAUCUUUCAUUCUUUUCUUCAAUUCUAGUCUGGAAGUCCAUAACAUGAUAACAAUUUCUUCCUUACAACUGAGAAAUCUCAAUUAACUAUUCCAACCUAACCUAUUCUGUAUUCAUCCCAACUAUUUAAACCCCCUAACUUCAAAGCAUCCCCUGCUACUGUUAUAGUCUCUAUAACUAAGUAACCCCUGGACUCCUCACAUUUUUUCCUUCAGGAAUAAACUAACAUCAACAGACAAUUUCCACGUCUUGUAAUAUUAUUUUAUUUCGUGCCCAACUUUCUAAACCUGUGCACUCUGUUAGAAAUCUGAUAUUGCGAAUUUGAAGUUUUCAUAUAAUGGUUUGAAGAAGUUAUGUGCUGUAUAAUUUAUUGUGUAACUUUAGCUAAUUGUGCAUCAUCAUCAUCAUCCUACAUUUGAUGGUUGCAAUGGAAUCCAUCAAGUGCUUUAAGUUGUUUUACUUAAAUAGACAAUGAUUGGUCUAAGUUGUUUUUCGGUAUCUAGAUAGAUUAUUGAGAGUCGCGUUCUGUUAUUUAAUAUUCUUUUAUACAUUUCAUUCUUUAGUUUUCAAUGAUGCCUGGAACCUGUAAAUGAAUAUUAUGGGUUCAUGUGACUCUCUUAAAACACAUGGCUGUGAUCUUAUAAUACAUAUAAUCUUUAAGCACUGCUUGUGACUGUUCGUCUACACCUAAUUUUAUAUAUUUGGUUUCUGCAUGCAGAGUGGAUUCCAUUGACCCUUCCCUAAGAAGGUUUGGACGUUUUGAUGCUGAAAUUGAAGUUACAGUUCCAAAUGAAGAGGAGCGCUGUCAAAUUUUGAAGGUAUUUUUUAAGAGAGAAAAUGUUUAUGGAUCUUCUCUUAGCAACUUAAACUUUUAGAAUGAUUUGGUUCUAAAGAUGAUAUGAAGCCCCUUCAACCAAGUUAGUUGAUAAAACCUUGUUAUAUCCAUUCGUCAUAAUUAAAAAAAAAAGCAGCACUAGAUAAACCAGGCUUGUGUUUUAUCCACACUUGAGAACAAAUGGCUUUUUUGUGAGGGUUGUGUUGCAUAUAAAAAAUCAUUCAUGGGUAGACUACUAACAAUUUGAGCACUUAGGAUGAUUUGCUUCUUGGCUGGAGUAUAACUUUUUCAGAUUUAAGUAAUUUGCAUGAGCAAUUGUUUAGUAAGAAAAGUCAGUCCUUUAGUUUACAACCUUGAGUAAUGAAGUUCUGACAGCAUGAAUUUAUGUGGUUUUAUUUUAACUUCAGUUGUAUACAAAGAAGAUUCCCUUAGAUAGGGGUAUUGACUUAACACCCAUUGCCGCAUCAUGCAAUGGAUAUGUUGGAGCUGAUUUGGAGGCACUGUGUCGUGAAGCUACUAUGUUUGCGGUUAAAAGGUCCUCAAAUACAAAUGAAAAUGCUAGUGAUUUCUGUUUAACGAUGGAGGAUUGGGUGAACGCAAGGUCCGUGGUUGGUCCAAGUAUAACAAGAAGUGUAACUAAGGAAAUUCCCAAAGUGACUUGGGAAGACAUUGGGGGCCUGAAAGAAUUGAAGGUUUGUAAAUUUUGAAUGUAGUUAUGCUAUUUUCAUCCUCAGAUCUCAGUUAUAUUUGAGUGUAUCCUUGAAUAGAAAAAGCUCCAGCAGGCUGUUGAAUGGCCUAUUAAGCAUUCUGCUGCAUUUUCAAGAUUGGGGAUAACUACUGUACGUGGAAUUCUUCUACAUGGGCCUCCAGGAUGUUGCAAAACUACACUUGCCAAAGCUGCUGCACAUGCUGCCCAAUCUUCAUUCUUUUCCUUGAGGUUUGAAUAAUUUAAAUGUUAUUAAGUACGGUUUAUCCUUGUGGUUCUGAGAGCCUUGGCAUGAUUAGGAUUGAAGUUUAUGGCUAUAAGAUGGAUUAAAUCCUAUCCUUUACCUCAGGAAAGUGUCAAACAGUUGAGUAAGAAAAAUGUAAAUCCCCCUGUACUAGGACUCGUUAUUUUAUUUUCAAGUUUCCUAAAACACUCCUCACAAUUGUUUGUAUCUUUCUCUAAAUAUGUCCUUUUUAAGUUGAGUAUACGAAUCAACUUUAGAUAUACGGCUUUUGUGGGGGGAACAGAAAAAAUAAUUCUAGAAUUUCACACACACCUUACUUUUUGCAAUCCAGUUCAGCAGUUCCUAUACAAAACUGAUUUCCAAGUUAUGGAGAUGUUAUAAAAUAAUAAAUGCUGAAUUAGUGGUGCAGAAUUAUACUCAAUGUAUGUUGGAGAGGGGGAAGCAUUGCUUCGUAAAACAUUUCAGAGAGCACGUCUUGCAGCACCAAGUAUAAUCUUUUUUGAUGAGGCGGAUGUGAUAGCUGGCAAACGGUCAGUAAGCUUUCUUUGAAUAAGAAUUAUAUUAUGAAAAAUAAUGAUAAGCAUUACAUAUUGUGAUAACAUUUCAUGAUCAGUUUUCAAUUGUUUUGAAAUAAGGAAAAUGUGGUCUUUCCUUCAUGUUUUACUUAGAAUUCAAUGUUGACUUCCUUGAUGCACAUUUUUCUAUUGUUAGAGAUUGAAACAAGAAUAUUUUAAUGUUUUUAAUGCAUGACAAGUUACGUUCUUAAGUUUAUACACUUCAAUUGCAGGGGUGAUAGCUCAAGCGGUAGUGCUACUGUUGGAGAGAGACUUUUAUCCACUCUGCUGACUGAGAUGGAUGGCUUAGAAGAAGCUAAAGUAAGUCUACCUUUUUCUUCUGAUGAGAACAUUUUACCCUCUCCCAUCUUGUCCUCUUCUUUCUAACAAUGAAUUCUUCUUUUAGACAAAGGAAAAGAAAAAAAAUGAAAAUAUAAAACUAAGGUUCAAGAGAUUGGUAUACAGCAUCUAGUUUCUUUCUUCCCUUUAAUUAUAUACUUCAAUAAUAGAACCUUUUCAAACUGGUGGGAUUUGCUACCUGAAUCAAAAGAUAUCAUUUUUUUUUCAUUAAUCAGGUGACUUCCCUUUAAUCAUGCCCCAUAUUUUUUUUUUCCAGGGAAUCCUUGUUUUGGCAGCUACAAAUCGCCCUUAUGCAAUUGAUGCUGCACUUAUGCGUCCUGGACGAUUUGAUCUGGUGCGAAUUAAUAUCUAAGUUAUGCUUUUGUUUCAAGUUGUUAUAAUUAAGAGUUAAGACUCAGUUUCUGAUGAAAGAAUUUUUUGAACCGCUUAUAACAAUAUUUUAAUGAUGGAGUUGAAAGGGGUUGGUCAAAUAGGCUACUAAGAUUGGGCUUUAGGCUGCGUUUGGAAGAGUUUAUUUGACCUUAUCUUACAGCAUAAGCGUUUAUGGAAGUGUUUGGGUAAGCUUAUGAAAAUAGCUUAUGACCUACCUAGAAGUUAUGUUGAGCUUAUUUUUCUAAGCUACUCAGAUAAAUUUAUCAAUAAGCGCUUAACCUAUAAACUAUUUUGAGCUUAUUUCAAUAAGUUUUUCAAAUUAGCUUAUGAAUAAGCGCUUAUCAUAUAAGUAUAAGCGCUUAUUGCCGUAAGCGUUUAACUAAACUGUUUACCCAAACGCACCUUGGUUAGGACUUAGGACAUAGUAGUUUGGGACUUUGGGCAGUUUACAUGAGGUCAUAGGUUCAAAUUUUAUCACCAUCAUAAUUACCCGGAAAAAGGGUUGGUCAAAUAUUCCAUCUCUUAUUCUAGUAUAUUUUUGUGCAAUUGUAGGUUCUAUAUGUGCCACCACCUGAUUUGGAGGCUCGAUAUGAGAUACUUCGUGUGCAUACAAGUAGGAUGAAUAUAGAGAGUGAUGUUGAUCUUAGAAGACUAGCAGAACAUACUGAGCUCUUCACAGGUGCUGAACUGGAGGGGUUAUGCAGGGAAGCUGGAAUAGUAGCCCUAAGGGAAGACAUAUCCGCUUAUGCUGUUCGUGACCAUCAUUUCCAGAUUGCAAAGAGUUCCUUGAAACCAGCAUUAACACCAGCAGACAUUGAUUCAUACUCAUCUUUUAUGAAGAACCCAUCUCGUGCUUUCUCUGUGCACUCUGAACCUGGUUUGAAACUGGAAAACAAAAAGAACAAGUUGGGUCAUUUGUCUUUGGUUAAGAUUGGUCUAGUCAGCUGUGUGUUACUUGCUGCUGCCAAAUACUAUGCCAUUCAUGGAGGCCAAUCUAUACGUAAUGUAGCCACUUGAAGAGCAUUUGUCUUGUUUUUUAAUUAUACUUUUCCAUUGUUUAUUUUAUGCUCAGCAUAAAAUUUAGAAAAAGUUUUUAGAUAAAUAGGAUAAAUUCAUGUGUUUUUCUUAUGUAUAAUUAACUAGGAUUAUUUAUCAACAAAUCACCUAAAGGGGAAAUUUUUUUGAGAAAUUAAAAUUUUGAGGAACAGUGCUUUCUGUUUUCUAUUGCAAGUGCUUUUGGGGUGAUUUCUUUAGAAUUUAUAUUUGUCCUUAUUGUUUUUCUUGUCAAUAUUUAUAUUUAUAUUGUCCAAGUGUACGGUAUCCUCUCAUUGAAACUAAAAUAUUUGGCCUCAGAUAAAAUUUAGGAAAAGUUUUUAUACAUAAAAUUUAAUUUAAUGGAUAUGCACCGUUUAACACUGACAACCAAUCUUGGUUUUUUUUUUUUUUUUUUGAAAAGGACAACCAAUCUUGGUUGGUAUACUACGUAGGAGGAAAGGAAAAAUUACAUUUGUUUCAAAUUGCCCAUACAAUAAUGGUUUUUAAACUCAAGGGCCGUACAAUAUUUAUUUACAUUUUAAGGAAAUCUAUUAUUAUUACCCACAAAUCUAUUAAUGCCAUCUCCAUUAAAUUUUUUUUACCACACUUUAAAUUGCGAUAUGAAAAAUAUGCAUAUCGCACUUUUUUGUAUGCAGUUUUUUCAUACCGUGCGGUAUACAUAAAAAUAACAUAAAUAUGUGUAUGAGUGGUACACUGGUACUAAUACAUUUUCCCUACAUUUUAUUCUUUUUCACAAAGUGUUAUCUGCAUUAAAGUUUUUUUUUUUGUCAAAAUCUAUAUUAAAGUUUUUAGGACCCGUUUGUGGACAUGAUAAACAGACAUGAUAUGAUAGCAGUAAUCCUAUCCUCCAGCAGGAUAGAAUAACACUAUCAUGUCCCUUAUCCUAUACUGUUUAUCAUGUGUAAAAAUUAUCAUAAGAGGGGAGUUAGGAUAAAAAAUAUCCUGACAGAAUAUGAUAUCAAUUUAUGAAUAUUAUGAUUUUUUUAUUUGAAAGGAAAAUUUAAUACUUUUUUCAUUGUUUCUAUCAUAUCCUGUUUACCUCAAACACAGGAUAUGAUAAGAGUUUAUCCUGCUGUUAUUAUUAUUCUGUCAUUAUCUAAUCAUUUAUCAUAUCAUACUCUUAUUAUAUCUUGACUACCAAACGAACCCAGGUAAACGACACAGUAAUUUUCAAAUAAAAAAAAAAGGUGCAAUAAAAACUAAUGUAAACUAGACACCAUCCAAUACUAGCUGCACCCUACAAAUACAAUUUCCCCACCACAAGAAACAACAGACACCAGCACCCUCAUAAGUCGUAACGUAUCAAACACCAUCACACAGGCCCCAAUCAAACCCUGCUUGAAUCCUCCACCAAACCUUAAGGUGACUCAGAAGGCAAACAUUCAAAGAGUGAAGAUACAAACCCAGAGUGUUCUAAAUAGUCCAGAGAUACUAGCAACCCAUAUUACCUUAAAAAGGUCAUUCCGUCGGUUUAACUGGAUUUUGACCGCUUUUUAAUCAAACCGGUUUAUCUGGUUCGGCCACCAUAACGGUGUGUGAAACUACGAAAAUAACCCUCAAUAUAUAACUAGGCAAAGUCUCAAACACUUGGAUGCAACCUACAAUCUGCCUCCACCGUCGCGCUGUUUCCUUCUUCGCCUGGUUGUAGCGCCACCGUCUUCCGCCGCCUCCGUUCUAACAACACUUGUGCAAAUUCACUGAAAUAAGCUGCUCUUUUCGAAUAGGCGGCAUCAAAUGCCUUCUGUGGCUCCCGGAAAUCACAAUCACCCUACUGCUGCUACUGCCAAUGGCAAGUUCUCCAAUGCAAAUCGGAAUCGCCAAACCCAGCUCACUCCCGGGUAUAAACCCUACCCUAAUCCUAAUUCAUCUAUAUAGUUUCAUUCUCUCUUUCAAAUCAAUUUGAUGUUUGUUUCAUGGUAUUUGCAAUUUGUUAUUGUAUAUGCAGGAGACAAAAGCUUGCACAACAGAGGAAGUCUCUUCCCAUUGCUUCAGGUAUUGCCUUAGAAGAGCUUGAAAUUUUGGUAACUUUCACUUUCUUACUUUCAGCCUGUGGUGUAAUCAUUCACAGUAUGGUUAUUGUUUGUAUUGUCUGUAUUGUCUUGUAGUUGAGAAGAGGCUUGUUGAAGAGGUUCGAAAGCAUGAUAUUUUGAUUAUUGUCGGCGAAACUGGAAGUGGGAAAACCACACGUAGGUUACAUUUUAUCCUAGAUUGUGAUUAUGAUUAUAUCCUUAUUCCUUCAUAAUUUAGAUUUUUCACCAUGUUGUGUCUAUUGCAUUGUGCUGUGUAGAGAUUCCGCAGUUUCUAUUUGAUGCUGGACUUUGCCAUGAUGGGAAAGUUAUUGGUAUAACUCAACCCAGACGUGUGGCUGCUGUUACUGUGGCCAAACGUGUUGCCGAGGAAUGUGGUGUUGAGCUGGGCCAUAAGGUUGGGUAUUCUGUUAGAUUUGACGAUGCUACUUCCAGCUCGACAAGGAUCAAAUAUAUGACAGAUGGCUUGCUUCUGAGGUAAAACUUUUAUGUAACUUGGAUCACUUGAUUUCUUUACUGGGGGUGUUGCCUAUUAAGACAUGAUGGUAUUCCCUUUUUUUAGACCACCUGGCACCUGUCUUUUUGACGUGAAUUAAGAUGCUUGUUGAUUUCAAGAAACUAAGGAGGUUUCAAAUUUAAAUUACUUUUUCUAUGGUUUUGUAGAUACAGUUUUUAUGUAGGAGAGUUGAUAUAAAUUUCAUUGUGCUUACAGAGAAGCAUUGCUGGAUCCGUAUCUUUCUAAGUAUUCUGUCAUAAUCGUUGAUGAAGCUCAUGAGAGAACUGUCCAUACUGAUGUGUUGUUGGGCUUGUUGAAAAAUGUGCAACUUACUCGGUCAAGGUCUAUCAGUGAUGGUCAGGGCCUUAAUUUUGGGAACAAACAUGUAAAUAAUGUCUUGUUGUCAGACAAAGAGAAUGGUCAGAGUAGCAGUUCUCUUAGAAAGGACCACCACAAGAAGAUUUCUCCACUGAAGUUAAUCAUCAUGUCUGCAAGUCUGGAUGCUCGUGCUUUCUGUGAGUACUUUGGUGGUGCCAAAGCUGUUCACAUUGAAGGGAGACAGUUUCCUGUGGAUAUAUUUUAUACUCGUCGUGCAGAGACUGAUUAUUUAGAUGCUGCCUUGAUAACUAUAUUCCAGGUCAUUGGUUUAUUCUGACCGUAUAAUUUCAUUCUGUGUAUGCGUUUAUGGUAUUUGCAGUUUCACAUGUCAUUCAUUAUCCUGUUCUUUUCAUUCACGUUUGUGCAUUGCAUGGUUAUUCACGCAUGUUGCUGCUUUUAUGUAUUAUAUAAAUUUAUAAUAUUGCGGUGUUGACUGAGAAAUAAAGUUCAUAUCUUUGAUGUAAUAGAUCCAUUUAGCGGAGGGUCCUGGUGAUAUAUUAGUAUUUCUUACUGGGCAAGAGGAGAUUGAAUCUGUUGAAGGACAGAUCAAGGAGAAACUCACACAAUUACCUCAAGAAAGUCAAAAGCUUCUAGUUGCGCCUAUAUUUGCAGCUCUUCCAUCUGAGCAGCAACUGCGAGUCUUUGCACCACCUCCAUCUGGGUGUCGCAAGGUAUCCUAGCCAUACAUUUGUUCUUUCUUUUUAAUAAGUGUAUUAAUUAAUUGUGGAUAGAAUUAACUAAAAAAACAGGGGAGCGAAUCUUUCUUUUUAAACAGUUGACAUGUUUUAUCUAGGUUUUCAUUAAUUCUCUUGAAGCACUCUAUUUCUCAAUCACAAUAAUUGCAAGUAACGCUGGUUGCCUUAUUUAGAGUCUCAUUAGGUUUAGGAGUUAGGAUUCAUAUUGCUUUUUUUUUUUGCAUAUUUCUGUACUGGAAUUUCUCUUGGGCACACAUGACUUGUAUAAUGAUCAUCUUCCCCUUUCAUCCAUUUUUCAUGAUUGGUAACACACGGUUUACCUCUGACCAAUUUCAUGCUGACAAUAUUCUGCACUAUGAAUGUGAUCCAGCUCUUUUGAUGUCAGUGUAAGAACUACUUGUACCAUUUUUCCUAGUUGUCACACUCACCCAAAUGCUUCUACCAAUAUUUCUGUAUACUAACUGACAAUCUGGUGAUCCUUAACCCAACAUCAUAUAAUAUGAUGUCAUUAAGAGUCUACAACUGAUUCCAUCUUUUCCAUCACUUUACUAAUGGAUUAUUGCACUCAACUGACACCACUCCUUUAGGAACUAUGUCAUCUGAAUUGGCUACAAUCCCUAUAAAUAGUACUUGAAUGCACGAAAUAGUUUCUGUCAGGACCAUAUAAUUUUUUACUGCGCAUCACUUAUUUAAUGUAAGCUUAUGUAUAUUUAAAAUAACAUGAGAUUUUUACCAUAUCAGGACUCAGGUAAUCACUAAUCACUUGUUUCUAAUUGUAUUCAACUUAGCUCUCUUCAAGCAAAAAAACUUAGUUCUCUGUUGUUUUCGUAGGUGAUAUUGGCGACUAAUAUUGCUGAGACAUCAGUAACAAUUCCUGGAAUCAAAUAUGUAAUUGAUCCAGGAUUAGUUAAAGCACGUUCCUAUGACCCUGGAAAAGGUAUGGAAUCCUUGAUUAUAGUUCCUACGUCCAAGUCUCAAGCUAUGCAAAGAAGGUAUGGUGCUGGAUUAAAUUUGAAUCUAUGAAAUGUUUGUUUAUUGCUGCAAAUAUUGGCUGUGUUGAUUUAGUUAUUGUGGUGAAAAUAAGCUUGUCCCAGUUUGAUGAUGUCUUCCUUUCUUUAUUUCCAAGUUCAGUUUUUGUAAUGCACGCCUUUGGUUUUCCUUAAAAACAUGGUAUUUACUUAAAAACUUGAGAUGUGAAUCUUUCAUCAAAGUUUCUAUUUCAUAUUUAGAAUGUUUGAGGAUGCAUGUCCUAUUUUUAAUAUUUCAUUUGUAGGUGAUUGAGAAGGUUACAGAUCAUGUAAUGUAUAUUAUCAAAAUAUAAAAAAUAAACAUUGUAAUGUAAAGCAUCAUUUCUUUUUCAUGAAAUAUUUUCUUAACUAUUUACUUUAUAUAAUAGCUCAUUCUUUGAUUCUGGUUUGUGCUUUUUAAAUCUUAUUUUGGUUAUAAUGAUUGAUAUGUUGUAUAGGUAGUCAAUUUUAGCCGAAUUAUCUUAGUGAAACCAAUACAUUUAAAAUAAUUUUUCUGGAAGAGUAGCAGAAAUUGAUUAUCUACUUUUUGGUAACAGUGGGCGUGCAGGGCGUGAAGGACCUGGAAAAUGCUUCCGUCUAUAUCCAGAAAUUGAAUUCGAGAAACUUGAGGAUUCAACAAUGCCAGAGAUUAAGCGCUGCAACCUUUCUAAUGUCAUUUUGCAGCUUAAGGCUUUGGGCGUUGAUGACAUAUUAGGGUUUGAUUUCAUUGAGAAACCUUCAAGGUAAAAACUUUUUCAGAAUUUUGGUUUUACAGUUUUCUUACACUUUCAUAUUCGUGGAUAUUUAUGCUCUUCAUAUUCGUGGACAUUGUGAAACUGAAGGAAGCAAGACGAUGGGAAGAUGAUGAAUAACUAAUAAGUUUGUUGGAUGUACAUGAUAAAAUACAAUGAAUUUGGAUGACUCACCAUAUCAUAGUAUGGAAUUAUAACGAGUAAAUAAUCAGGCAUUUCCUUUAUGCUUUGGUGCCUGUAUGACUAAAUUAACUCUGCUUGAACUAUUUAAAUUUGGUACAUUUGCUAUUAUAUUGCAUUUUCUAAAGCAGGUCCUUUUAUCUUGAGGAAUUAAACUGCUUUUAUGUCAAACCUUACCAACUAAGCAGUUAGCAACCUUUCAAAGAAUACCAAUGUUAAUAAACAGCUCUGUUUAGGUAGAUGUAAUAAGAGGCACAUAAAGAGUUUAGAAAUCUAUUCCUUUGCAUCAGUCAGUAGUGACGUGAGUUAAAAUAUUUGAAAUUUUUAUUGAUAUGUUGUCGUGUGUAUUGUACUCUGAAACUAAUUUAAUUUUUUUAGGGAUCUUUAUUUGUUAGUUUACUCUUUAAAAGUAUUUUACCAGGCAACAAAUUACUCAAAGACUGUGCAUGUUUCAACAGGGCAGCUAUUAUAAAAUCAUUGGAGCAGCUAUUUUUAUUAGGUGCUCUAACAGAUGAGUGCCAUCUAUCUGAUCCAGUUGGGCGUCAAAUGGCUCGACUGCCUUUGGAUCCUGUUUAUGCCAAAGCUCUUAUUUUUGCUAGUCAGUUUAACUGCUUGGAAGAGAUGUUGAUAACUGUUGCAAUGCUUUCUGUGGAAUCCAUAUUCUAUGUUCCUCGUGAUAUGUUAGCAGAGGUUUGAUGCGUGAAUUGUCAUUGUAGUACAUUCUUUUCAUAUUACCUUUUGAUGUUAUGAUGUAACAUGAAUACGAAGAUGAAUCAUUGAUUAUGUACUACACUAGUUCAUCACUCUAUUUGACCAUUUAACAAUUUUUUUGUAAAUAUCAUAUAAAUGGUUCAAAUAUUUGCAAUUCGUAAUGACUGGCUGAAGAUUAUAUAGUCUUUCAUGUUUACAUAUACAUCACCCUUUCUCCCUUCUAUGUACUCAUUUAUUGUGUUUGUCCCAUUUUUCACCAGUCGAGAAUUGCAACAAAAUGCUUCUCAAGUCCAGAGGGAGACCACAUCACUUUGAUUAAUGUGUAUCGAGCAUCUAAUGAUUUCUUGGAGAAGAGAUCAAUGGAAAUGAGUAAACCAAAAAGUGAAAAGGUUUUGAGAAAAUGGUGCAAGGAAAAUUUUAUUAAUAGCCGUUCUCUUAGACAUGCUUGUGACAUUCACAGGUAAGUUGUAUUGUGUUAUAAGUAUAUUUCAAGGCAUCUAUAACAUAGAUAUUUAUGCAUUCAUUUGUAAAACACUUUUUGCAGGCAGAUUAAGGGACAUGUUCAACAGAUGGGUCUGAAUCUUGCUUCCUGUGGAGAUGAUAUGCUUCAAUUCCGCAGAUGCCUUGUUGCUUCCUUUUUCCUCAAUGCAGCUAUAAAGCAGCCUGAUGGAACCUACAGGUAUCUAAUUCAAUUUAAAAAUUAUUGGCAAAACCCAUCUGGGUAGCUUCCCAUCUAUUCCCUUUGUGAUAAUCAAACCAGUGUUAUCAAAUAUCUGGCAUGGCGGGCGGAAUCUCAUGACAGGUUUUUGGCUCUCCGCCAUGGCCGAUAAUUCGCCAUAAUCCACCAUCUGUCAUCAUUAUUUGUUAAAUAUGGCUGAUUUUUGGCUUUUCGCCAGUCUGCCAUCCGCCAUUAACAACCUUGAAUCAAACUGUUUGCGAAAGUAUCUGUUAGUUCUAAAAUUCUCAUCUGGAUUAUGACUCACUAAUUGGAAUUCGUACCAGCAUAUAUAAUUUUAUCAUAUAUUUGCUUUUAAAGACUCCCUCAUUGCUUUAAUCACAUGCAGGGCUUUGGCCAGUGGUCAGGUGGUGCAGAUCCACCCUUCUUCUGUAUUAUUUCGGCAAAAACCAGAGUGUGUAAUAUUUAACGAACUUCUCCAAACUAAUAACAAGUAUGUCCGGAAUUUAACUAGAGUUGACUACCUAUGGUUAACUGAACUUGCUCCUCAGUACUAUGCCAUGCAGAACUAAAUCCGUGAUGGUGCUACUAAAUAGGUAAUGUGAUAUCUUUUCUUCUUUGUGCUCGAUUCUGUUGGGUUUAUUCAUGGUCUUAUGUAAUCCGUUUAUUACUGUCUUCAUUAUUAACCUGAUUGGUGUGAGGAUUCAUCUUACAUUGGACACUGUCUUUCCUCUCUUAUUUGUAUCACAUGUUUUUCAAUAUUUUUGCAGGCUACGGCGAAUCCUUUGUAGUUAACAACACUCAAAGAAAAAUGAUGGGAGAAAGGGGAUGCAGACCCACAUGUAUUGUCAUUUAUUGUCAAUUACAUUGAUGCUUAUCUAUUUUUACGUGGUAUCAGGCCUGAGUUGUUGACGAAAAUCUAGCUUGUAAAUAAGAAGUUUCUCAUUCUUAAUUUCUUAUACUUAAUUGAGAGUACUCAUUCAGUAUCUUAUUAUUCUGUUAUUUACUGACUGGAAGAAUGAAAAUAUACCUUUAUGCUCUGUCUCACCCUACGUUUUCUACUUGGCCAUAUCUUACACUAAUAAUUGUAUGCUAGGUAAUUUUUGUAGAAUCAAGCUCAAUCAUAGUUUUGAAGAAACUUGUUGUUAUAUGAGUCUAUUUAAUAUCAGGUUAAAGUGGGACAGGAUCAGGUUAACUCAAAGUACAAGUUAAAUAAAUAAUAAAAUUAUGAAAUGAACAUAUCCAUGAACAUGAAAGUGAAACAAUAUUUUAAAGAAAACUAAUAAUGUACUUGGUAAAUAUAUCAUAUAUAUUAGAAUUUUACUCUAACAAGGCAGUUAUCUAGUGGUAAGUAAGUUAGACUUCUGUAAAAUUGAGAAUACAAGUUUGAAUUCCGGAAAAGACAUUUGUUAAGAGUGACAUGCAAUUGCUAUCCCAACCGUGAAUAGUGGCGACAUCCGACAAAAUAAAAUAGAAUUUCACUUGAUAGAUGUAGUACUUUUUCCUUGAUAAAAUAAAUUUCUUUUUUACCGUUCGAUAAAACAAAGGUUAAACCUCUAAUUAAAAAAAUUAUAAGUAGUAAACAUGUUUAGAAAUCUAGUUACUCUUCUUCACGAGAAACUUACUCUAUUUAAUUACCUUGUGAAUUAAGUAUGAUUUCCAAAAUUUCAACUGUUAUUCAUAUCAUGCAAAUUUAGGGUACAAAUUUUGUAAAAUCUUAAAAAUAAUCAUUAGUCCAUCAAAUAAAUUUAUUUUAAUGUGUAGUAUAAUUAAAAGUAUAUCUUGAAUUAUUUUUUAAAACACAAGUAAAUAUCAAUAAAAAUAUUAGAUGUUUAUAAAUGUCAGUUUAUCUAAAUUUUAAUAACUAAAUAAAUAACUAAGAAUUAACGUACUAAAUUAUUAUUUAAUUUUAUAAUAUGUCUUCUAUACAUAUCUCUCUGUUUUUAUUUUGUGUCUCUAUAUAAUUUUUUAAAGCCAAAUAUGUGACGGUAAUAAAAACUAGUUUAAUUUAUUCUUCAUUCUUUAUCAUCACACACACACUACUAGAACCGAGAUUCAUUCUGCUUCAUACGUCUUUGGCGGGACCCCUCUUAUUCUCACGCCGCCGCAAGCCACCGUCUCCUCCGCCAUCGCUCAUUUUCCGGCCAAAUUCAAACACUCGCAUUAUUCUCUCGCUUCUCAAUCUUCCCUCUGAUCCUCAUCAUCAUCAACAAACAGGUUCACAAUUUUCCUACUUUGAUUUCCUUCCAUUUCAAUUCGCUCAAAACAUCAAAAAUUGGCAUUGUCAAUAACAGCACCAUGUUAUGUUCAGAUUUGAGUAGUUUAGUCGGUUGCAAUGGUAGUAGGAGGUGGGAGAAUCCGGCUGAACACAUGGCAGCAGGCGGCGGUGGCGGUGGGCUCGGCGGUGGGUGCGUUGUUGGACCCUCGGAGAGCGGAUUUGAUAGCCGCUCUUGGUGAGACUACUGGAAAGCCUGCAUUUGAGAGGGUUCUUCAGAGGAUGAAGAGUUGCCCUGAAGGGAGGGUCAGUUUUUCAUUUUUAUAAUUAAUAAUUAAUUCCCUUUUUGCUUGAUAGAAAUCAUGUUGUGAAAACAAGUUUGUUGUUGUUGUUGUUGAAUGUUGAAUGUUGAAUGUUGAGUGGCCUUUGUUUGAUUAUUUCACUUUUUAUGGGAUGUUUUCUAGCAUUUAACAACAAAGGUUUGUAUUUUGGGUGAGAAAAGCUUUAGGAUGAGAUGAAAAUGCUUGUGUCCUGGUCUUAGAGACUUUGUUAAGAAAAAAAUUCAGAUGGGGUAGCAAAAAAUUGAGACUUGCAAAUAACCCAACUUGCAUUGGCAAGUAAGUAACAACUAACAACACUGUUUUUCCCGCUGCGAAUAUGAUAUUGAACCAACUCCUUUUUGUUUUGGUAGAAGGUAAUGAGGUGGUGUUUUGUUAUUAUUAGUACUUGUCAGUCGGAAUGCAUCCAUGAGAGCUUAGGUGACAAUGCCAAUAUGAGAAAUGAAAUUUUGGAUAGUGUAGUGGUUCCUUUUGGAAUAUUAUGUGAUGGCACAUAUUUGGUGAAUUUCAAAAGUGUAGACUGGAUAUAAGGAUGAUUGUUGAUUCAUUUUUUUGGACUGUCUUAGCGAGAGUUUGGAAUAGGGCUUAACUCUACAUAAAAUCUUGCUUAAGGGGUGAGGAUUGCCCUAACCUUCCUUAUAAGAAAAUUUUGGGGAGAUCUCUAAUCAAUGUAAGACCUUAACACUCGUCUUAACUCGUUAGAUAUGGAAAUUGUACUGAUUCGAGUAAAUUUAUGUUUUAUCAGGAUUUGGGAUUGUCUUUCAAUAAGAAUGAUACAUUUUUGUGGAAUAGGUUGCAAUUGUUGUGUGCCACAACACCAUUGUACAUUCCUUGUAUUUAUUUUAUUAUUUUCCAUAUCAGUUUGGAAUUAUGCUAAAUUGUUAUUGUGGUGAUUGUUGUUUUGAUAGUUUAUGGAGCUCAGUAAGUGUCUUCCCACCCACCAUAAAUGUCUAUAAUUGUUUUUAUGAUCUAUGCACAUGUAUAUACACACAUAUAAUGUGUUUUGCACCAACUUAUAUUCAAAGUUAAAACCCCUCACUAGACCUCUUACUGGUAGGAGUGCAGCCCAAGGGAUUCCUUGCCCUUUUAUCAUCACUGCCAAAGGGCUGAAAUGACCAAACUAAUUAUGUACUUUUAAGACUAGUAACUUGCUAAUACUUGCUCACAUCUAUCUUAUGCCAACUAAUGUGCAAUUAAUGCACUUUGGACAAUUACAGUUUAUGCAUUACUGAAAUGCCUCUCUGGAUAAGAGUGGUUAUAAUUAUUUUUCUCUCAACAAUGAUUUUUAUAACCAGUGUCUGUUGGUCCAAGUGCCAAAAAGCUUGAUUGUUCUUAGGUAUGGUCUCAGAUUGAAAUUUUGUGAAUAAAUUUUUUUGCUGAGAGAGCUUUGAUCUCUUAGGUGAAUCCACCAUCUUGACUCAAAUUAAUUGGCGCCUAAUGUGACUUUUGAAUACUUAAGGUCUUGGUUAAAAAAAAAAAGACACAAUGGUUCUGAUUACCGUCACUGAAAUAAUUGAUAUUCUUUACUUUGCUUAGACCAAAACUUGUUUCUGUCUAGAUAUACUGCUAAAUGUCACUAACUCACUAUAAAGACCAAUGAUUUUUCUUUUGUUUGACAGGCAGUAUUAUUGGAGCGUCCUCGUGUUGUAUCCGCAAACGUAGGGCAUGCUUGGGAUCUGCCAGCGAACACAUUUGGUGCUGCCUAUGCUAGAUUCAUGGGAUCCAGGAACUUCUCACCAGAUGAUCGACCUCCUGUACGGUUCAUGGACACAGAUGAGCUGGCCUAUGUUGCCAUGCGGGCUCGUGAAGUGCAUGACUUCUGGCAUACCCUUUUUGACCUACCUACUAACUUGAUUGGGGAGUCAGCACUGAAGGUAAUCGAGUUUGAGCAGAUGUACCUUCCUAUGUGCAUGCUGUCUGUUGUAGGAGGCACAGCAAGAUUCAGCGAAAAGCAAAGAAAGUUGUUCUAUCAGCACUACUUCCCCUGGGCCGUUCGUGCUGGCAUGCAGUGCACUGAUCUCAUGUGUGUAUAUUAUGAACGACAUUUUGAUGAAGAUCUGGAAGAUGUUCGUAGAAAAUUGCAAAUUAUUCCAGCUCCUGCUGUUCCUUAAUUGCAUGUCCUGAUAAGUUUUUUUAUGUUUUUUGGACAAUAGCAGUGAAAUUUUUCAGUAAGAUUUAGUGCACAAAUUUUGUUUCUGAUAUAAAGUCAGUGAGCUUUGUAUAGGUUGGAUUUUAUCAAUGAUUGUAUACCACGAUCAAUAAAAUAGACUCACCAUCACAGGUUUUGGUGUAUGCUAGACUAAACUAAACCUGCCCUUAACUAUUUAAAAUUAGCAUAGAUGAGAUUUUAUUGCAUUUGGGAAAAUUGAUCGCUUUUGGUUUAUCUUGGUGAAUUAAACUUGUUUGUAUCAUGAGAUAUUUGGUUGUUUCUACAUACGGUGUUCUUUAGGCACUCAAACCUUUGAUACCAACCGACCAGUUACCACUGUUUGGAAGAAUGCCUGAGGUUAACAAAAACUCAUAAGUGAGUUAAAAUAUUUGAAACUUCCAUGCUUUCUUGAGUAAUUUACUCCAGGACAAUAUUCACAUUUUUAGUCAUCUUUAUUAUUACUCAGUUUAAAAAGAUAUUUUACCAGGCAAAGUUGUGCCUAUCGCUUGUUUGAACAGGGCAGCUAUUAUAAAUUUAUAAGUUCAAUGGUAACUGAUGACUUCAGCUAUCAGAUCCAGUUGGAUAUCAAAGGGCUCAACUGCCUUUAGACCCUGUCUGUGGAAUCCUUAUUGUAUGCUCCUUUUUACAAGUUAGAAGAGGCUCUAACAGUGAAUACUGAACUCUGAUUGUAGUUUACUACUGUCAUAUUCUCUUUUGAUGUUAUCAUGAAUAUGUGUGUUUAAAUCUUCAAAAUUUUUGAAGUAAAUAAAUGGGAAAAUCAUUUUCUGGAAUGCACACAUCAUAUACCCUGCAUAGCAAUGUCAAAGUGAAAGCUGCUUUUCUUUUCUCCUCAUUUAGCAACAUUGGAGUGUACUAGAGCAUUAUAAAUUGGUCGAUUGCAAUGUCAAGUUACAGUUGCUUGCUGAAAUGCUCUCUCUCUCUUUAAGAUAAGGACCAAUGGCACUGGUUACCACGUUAUUAUUUACACUAUGUCAAGACCCAACUUUCUCUAUUCUUAUUCAUUUUCUUCAAGUCUAACCGCAGUACUUAGAUGCUACAAAUUUAAACUCUCACAUAAUUCGAGUGAUGGAUGAGGGCUUUGUUCGUCCAUUAAUUCUGAUUGUCACGUGCACGAUAACUUUUCAAUCAUCCAUCUAUUAUACCAUGUUUAGAAUCACUUUUAAUCAUAUCUAAGUUUCUUUUCGAAUAGUAGAUUUUCUCAAAAUCACCUUCCCUCAAACCUGAAAAACUACCAGAUUUCCAAACAUACAGUGACUUUGCUUCUUGUCUUGACAUGAAAUUUACACUACUGCAGUAUAACCUGUUCUCAUGUAGUCAUGGUAUGCCGUGCUCACUUCUGACAUGGAUCCAUGACUUCCCUGACCCUCAAGGAAUAUAAUAAUAAUUGUUUUAGGACUAAAAAGAUUGUUUAUUAUAUUUUACUUUUUUUUCAAAUGAGAGGGGCACAACAUACAUGAUUGAAGAUCUGCUUAAAAAAAAAAAAAAACAUGAUUGAAGAUCUCUUCCACAUUAGAACCUGCACCCACCCCCUCCCCCCCGAAAAAUUACGCUAACAAAAUGGAAACAAAGGACAUUAACAAAAUUGCUGCCAAUCUCAAAUAGACCUCCACAUUCAAAGCUCCACAGUGAUGAACUUCAAUACAAGACAAAAUGAAAGUUGAAAAAAUCUGGUCCACAGCUGACAUCCAUCCUGCCGCACAUCCUCCUUCCCCGGUUGAUGAAUCAGGAGACACAAGAACGUGAAAUCGUGAAUGUUAAAAUUAGCAAUUUGGCAUUUCAAGAAAAAAAAAUUGUGAUUGAAUGUGCCAGUGGAUGGAAAACCAAACAUACUCGAAAUAGGGCUAUCAAAAAUAUUGAAAUUCAGAAGACAAGCUUUUGGCAACUUGAAAGCAUCAAAUUGUGCCAUUCCAUUUUGACACAGCAAAAAGUAUUAUCUCUAAUUUCCAAGAGGAAUGCAAGCAACACCAAGGAUGGCACGAAUGCCGGUAGGGGUGGGGUGCUCGUGCCUUCCCACUUCCCACUCCUGCAUCCCGCCCAAGUCCAUGUCCCUGAUCCCUGCUAUGGGGUAUAUAUUUCUCAUAUUUCUGUUCCUCACAGGGACCCUGAACUUAUCAACAAAAUUUUUGAAACAUAGCGAACAAUAUAAAAAGUUGGGCACUAAAUUUAAAACCACAAGUGAUAGUUUUCUACAUCAAAUUCAAUAUAAAUAUACAAUAAAAUUUCAAAAUAACAUCAUUUAAAAUUCAACACGAAGCAUAACAUACGUUAAAUCUUCAAAUGAGCAAUCCAAAAUGUGAAGUCUAGCAUUUAAAUCUAAAAGUGGGCUGUAAUAAAGGAACAAGGAGUAUACUAAAUAAUCCUCAACCCCAAGUUUGUGUUGGACAGAAUUUAUCCAUCACCAUCCCCACGAGAAAAAAAAUGCCUACGGUCAAGGCCCGAAAAGGGAAUCCCCGUUCUCAGGUGAAUAUUGUCAUCCCUACCAACAACUCAUCUUGUGAUGCUUCUUACCACACAUUUAAUGAUUGAUAAUUUUUUUUUAAAUCAACACACUUGCCUCAUGAACUGAUCGCUUAAAAAUGUGUAGAUAAAAAUAAAUGAACCAAUCAUAAAGAGUGUUGCUAUUAUUCAUUUUUCCAAAACGGGAUACUAGAUGCAACACAUCAUGCCUCAGUCAUGGCAUUCGCCAAAACUUCAUAUAUCUAUUCCUCCAUAAUCUUAAAAAAUUUGUUGGUAAAAAUAAAUGAACCAAUCAUAGAGUGUAGCUACUAGCUAGUACUCAUUUUUCCAAAACGGGAUACCAGAUGCAACACGUCAUGUGUCAGUCAUGGCAUUCGCCAAAACUUCAUAUAUCUAUUCCUCCAUAAUCUUAGUACUAGUUCACAGUGGACCAAAAGCAAAGGUAAUCUAUUCUAGUAAAUUUGUUAUUAAAUAGAAAUGAACGUGUACGAUUCAUCAUUUUUCCACUCGUACACAGAAAGAAACAUUACCAGGUUCACUAGAUUGUUGUCCAUUUUCAAUUAGUGCCAUACAAUGAGGAUUUCGCUACACGGCCAGAAAGUCAAUCUCAUCAGAGCUUUCCUCAUAAACCACAUAGUUGGCAUCUGGAGCAUCCUCAUUGCCACUACCCUGAUCACUAUUAUAGCUGCCUUCAGAUGUACUCAUAAAACUUGAUCCAUCUGAUGUGUGGCUGCUAGAGUGUAAUGGCACACUUGGAUCACUAUCAUCAGCAUCAAAUUCCAUGUAACUGCAACACAGGCCAUAAACAUAAAAAUUGGUCACUUUUAGAAUGAAAAUUGAAAACGAAAAACCCUCCAUCUCAGUGCAUCAGAAUACUCUAAUUGAAAAAAUAUCUAACCUUCCUUCUGAUGGAUAUUCAGCCACCAAAUGCAUAUCAGGCCUUGCUUCCAAAACCUGCUUUAUAGGCAUAGUACUGCAACAUAGAACCCCAUAUUUUAAUUUAAUAAAAAUAGUAAAAUAAGUCAUUCAGAAAAUUGAAGCAUCACAUUCAUGAAUGAUAAUCAAUACCUAGGGUUGUAGCACCUCCGAUACCAGUCAACCUCAGAUGCUAAGCCUUCCCUAUUGGAUAUGUCCUGUUUGCGGUUAAGAGUAAGAACUUGAAUCAAAAUUGAGAAUCAAGCAGAACUUCACUUAUUUUUAGCAACGUAACAUAUUUCUAUGUACCCACCAGAUGUACAAGCAAUUUGAAAUCUCCUGCAAGAAUCGCUGUCAACAACCUGGUAGCUUCCGUCUGCACACGAAGUAUUAGUGUUUCAGAGGCAAUGGUUUGGAAAUAAGGAACCAACUAGAAAUGUAUUGCAAUCUGACCUCUUUGAGAUGCAUGCAAUCCCUUAAAAUUAAGACCUCAAGCAAGUUCCCACCAUUGCAGCUUCCAAGGUUUCUGACAGAGAAAGGUUUUCAGAUUUUCAAAUCAACAAUCUCAAAGACAGAUGAAUCUGAAGGUUUCGCAAAGUCUUGUUGAAAACAACUAACCUUAAGAAAUUUCCCGUGAUUGAAUAGGAUGUUGAAAAGUCAACAUAUUUCAGUUUCCGAAAUCCCUGCAAUGCAGUGUGAAAUUAGUAACCCUGAAAAUAUGGGGGCUUUACUUCUACUUAGAUUAAAAUGAGAAAUUGGAAAAUGCCAACUAAUUUAGAAUUAAAUAGCCUGAAAUUCAGAAAAGAAAUGGUAGCUGUAACGCCCCGAUUUCUCGAGUGUCACACAGUAACCAAUUUUUCACAAAAAUUUUCGCCGAUUCAUUUAUUACUCUUGAUUAGGUGAUAAAGGUCAUUUUUACUUUUGAAAGCUCUUGAAUACCAUUGUUAGAAAUCACUUUAAUGUUUUCCGAUUCAUAACAUAACCAUAAACCGCGUGUUAAAGAAAUCCGUUUUGCAUUAAACUCAUUAAGAGGAUAAAACAUCAACUGUUAUAAAAUCAACUGUAAGUAAAUAAAGAAAACCGUGUCCACACCCACGUAUGGAAAAACCACGGCGGAAGUAAAUAGUUUACAUCAGUUACUCAAGUUCUCAUAAAACUCAACAAAAUAAAAUGAAGUUCCAAACGAACGCUCGCUCAUAGGGCUCCCAGUCCAGCUAUCAGUGUCACGGUCACUCGGCGGGUUCAUCCUUUGGUUUCUCAUCUUCUACCACCUGUCUCCUCUUCCUGGGUCUCGGUCCCACUAAAUUGUUGUGAAUCCACCGUGUGCCCCCUCCAUAGAGUUGUUGUCCUGUAACCGAAGCGUCUGACCCGUCUUGAGGCACGAACUCAGCAGGUGUCCCAGCCUUAGGCUCAGAAGGAGUUUCCCCGACUCCCUCGACCUCAGGUCGCNNNNNNNNNNNNNNNNNNNNNNNNNNNNNNNNNNNNNNNNNNNNNNNNNNNNNNNNNNNNNNNNNNNNNNNNNNNNNNNNNNNNNACACCGGCCCACAGAGUUCACGGGUGACCGCAGUCGACCCAAAUAACUCCCUCGCGUGCAAGGUACCAUCGUUCUCAUGGUCCAUAGUCUCACUAGACCUAUGUCCAAUAAAAUUUUAUUCACAAUCAUCUUGCAAGCGAGUUAAUUCACUUUCUUAAGAUUGAGGCUCUAGGUCAAGUCAUCCUAAGUCUUUUAUUUUCUCAUCUCAAAGUUUACACUCCCAACAAGACAUAAUUAAUUCCUUAAAGGGUAACACGGGAAUUACGGCUAGGUGAGCGACCCGUGUCGCCAAAAUUCACAACUCAUGCAUUAAAAAUGCUACCAGAUUACCCAGGAAAAUUAUUAUGUACGUAAGCAACCGACCAAGGAAAAAGUCACCAAACCCCCCUCUAAGUUGGGUUCGGCCGAGACCAACUUUGGUCCCUAGGUUUGUAAAAAAAAAUUUCUUUUUCCCUUGAUUACUUACCAUAACAUUUUUCCAAGUCAAACAUUUAUACAAUUGUAAAAGAAAAAUCCAGCAAACUCACAUCAUCAUCAACGCAUGAAAUAAGGCCAAUUUUAAAGUAAGUAUACAAUCAUCACAUGAGCAAAAUUUCCAUGACCUUGAAUCUCAAAAAAAAACACGUAUGGCAUAUUACACCCCAUAUCACCAUCUAGUAAAAUUUUCCAGCAAACAUCUCUUUCACAAAAAUCCCCUUAACAUUAAGAGGAUGCCGAAUUGCGAUUUUCUAGUAUCAUGGUAUUCUUCACGUAAAUAUUGAUCCAGAACUGAACAUGUUAGAGCAAAAUAUAGACCAUGAUAAACUUAGCAACAAGGUGCAGCCACCUCACUCAAGCACAAACUCAUGCAAACUCAUGGUAAAAGUCAUAACUUUCCAAGGAAAACUCAAGAUAUAACUCCUAUUCUACCCAAGAGAUCCUAGGACCAGCCCUUACCUUUGUCCUUAGGCUUGAAGAAAAGAUGAAAUUGAAGAGCAAGGUUCUGGUUUCUCUCCUCUUCUCCCACGCGUGAAAUCCGCUGGUACUGUACAGCCAGGACCAUCGUCACUAAACCGAUGAUAUCUCGAGCUACAGAGGUCGGAAUGACCUGAUUCCACUUCGAGAAUUUUCUAGACUUAAAGGGCUACAACUCUCAUGAAGGAAGUUUUCCCAAAUGAAGUCGUUAAGACCCUCUAAAAAUUCACCCAAGUUGACAGUUCUAAUCUGCCAGCUAUCAAACAUUAACUAAAACUUCAAUUUUAUUCAAACUUCCAUAAAAUUGUUCCAAAUUGAACUUAGGGCCUUACAGUAGCUUCCCAUCGCACAUCAAUAGAAUAUCAAGAAGAUAAGUCUGCCUCACUUUCCCUAAGGCAAUUCAAUCAACAAUGGUAUGCACCAUUGCAAAAUUAUUAUUCAGACAAAUUGAAACUUCACACCAGCUAUUGGUAAUAUUAUAAAACAUCCAUCCAGAUGAUUACACUGGAUUAAACGGCAGAAGUUAUAUGUUGUGGAAUUUCACCAAAAUGCCUCUUUAACUUGAGAGUUCAAGAUAGUUUUCAGGUGUAAAAAGUGAAAAGAUGACAUAAAAAGCCAAAUUUGGUUGCAUGUACAUCUUGCUUGACUUGUAUUUUGAUUCAUAUUGUAAAACAUCCAUCCAGAUGAUUAGACUCCAUUAAACCGCAGAAGUUAUAUGCUGCAAAAGUUCACCAAAAUGCCUCUUUAACUUGAGAGUUCAAAAUAGUUUUCGAGUCUAAAAGGUGGAGACAUGACAUAAAAAACUAAAUUUGGGUGCAUGUACAUCUUGCUUGACUUGCACAUUUAUUCAAUCUGUAACACUCUUCCCUUUUCCUAGCAGAUAAAAUGAAGAAAUUCAACAUUAUAUAUUUAAGCAGACAUCUAUCUUUUAAUGAAUUAAACUUUAUAAAAGAAAAAAAUCCAAGGAGCAACAAGAGACUGAUAUUUAAUCAAAACCUCCAAUGUUUGAGCAAUGCAAAAAAAUGUUGAGAAUGAGAACUUGAAACAAACAAUGAAAAAUAAUAAUUUCCUUAAAAACAUACCUUAACCAGUAUGCGAACUUUACAAUCAUGUAGCUUAAACCCUCGAAGAGAUAAAGAAGCUAGAUGAGGACAAUUGUUUACCAGCUCAGAACACGUUUGCGCUUUCAAGCUAUCAUCUCUACCUGAUAAUUAAAACGAGAUAAGCAGAGAUAUAGAGUCCUAAUAGGUAAAUUAUAUCUAAGAAAGUGACUUGCCUGCUUUAGAAGACUCAAAACACAAACGCUCGAUCAAGUGGCAGUUUGCACUUACUGACAUUAAUGUUUGCCUCAGUUCAACAUGGCUAGCAGUUUAAAAAAAAAAUCCAUCAGCAAAUACUUAGAAACAACCUUCUCUUUCAAAAGAAAGAAUUAGUGGAAAAUAUGUGAAGGCACAUAUACAGAUACAUAUUAAAUGGUUACAAACAAUAAUAAUCACAUUUAAAAAUGAAACUAAAAUACAAGUACAUGCACAUUAGAGUUUAAAAGAAAAAAAAUAUUGUAAUAAAACAAAUCAUAUUUGUAGUCACAACUAACAGCAGAAAGAGUUCGCAGCCUAACUGUGACAGAUAGAAUUUAAAAUAGGGUACAUUCCAGAUCACAAGAAAGUAAACUAAUCAUGAAGAAAGAGUUCCAUUUUCUUCAUCUCUAACAUGUUUCAUCGAUGACAUUCAUACCCGUGAGAAAAAUGCUUAUAAUGAAAAGAAGGCGAAGAACACGAGUUGAAGUAAACAACUUACAGCCCAACAAUUUCCAGAUCAAGGAGAGAAGGGCAUGCUAACAAUGCCCCACCAAGGGAUGCAUUAUCCAUUCUCUCAAUAUUGUACAGGUGCAACUUUCUCAAAAGAGCCCUACAAAAACAUAAUGUAAGAGUCCAUUUAACCAUACUAAGAACUCAAGUCCAUGAGAAACAUACCCCGGAGCACCACCGUCCCCACUUAAAGGGCUUAAACAGCAUCUUGUAAGAAUGGAUGAUGGGUCUCUCCCUUGACGAGAUCUCUUAUCAAUCCAUGAAAUGUUAGAAACGUCUACAAUAGCAUUCCUAACGGCACAAAUCAAUGGUUGACAACAUCCAGGUGAAGUAGUGGCACCAGGGACAACACCAAGCUUAAGAGACCUUAUUAAAAGAAUUAAAUAGAUUAGUGCCAGCAUAUAAUCAGGUAAAAAUACAUCAAACUGUAAACCAUACCCAAAGAGUUAACACAAAUUAAAAUGGAUGAUACUUUUUCCUUUCCUAAUUGAAAGAGCUAAUUUAAUUUAAUUACUGAUUGAAAGCAGUAUCGAAGUUUACAUGGAAAAGUACACUUAAAACUACAGGCCAGGUAAACAUAAAUUUCUAAUAGGAAGUAAGGAACCAAAAUUUAGUAGUAGGAGUAUGUAAUAUGUUACAUACCAUGAGUCAAUAAUGAAAUGAGGAAACCAAAGCAAAUGAGGCAGACCAUCAAAACAAAUAAUCAAUAUGAAACUAAAUGGUCAAGUUAGGCAAUUUAUUUUUAUACUUUCACAAAUUAUACCCCCAAAAAUCAUCAUAUUAGCAGUUAAUUGAAGUUUCCUUGUGAAGACAAAUUUACCAUGGAAGGGAAAAGGACCAAUGAGACCCAAAAUUUCUCCUACCUCAGUGCCUUUCCAGCUCGCUGAAUCAUCGUUGCAACCACUGCAUUGUUAACCUUGGGAACAGGUGUAGUCAAAUCAAGAUUUGCAUAGCACAUAGGAUCUUUGGCACACUUGCUAAAGAAUGAACAAGAAGCCGAUGCAUAGCACAGGCUCUGGGUAUCAAGCAUCGAGAAGACCUGUACAUCACAUCAUCGAAUCAGUAUGCGGAGAGUUUCGGCUAUAUUCUAUUUAGAAAGCUCCAAACCACGUUUUAGCAAAAGCAAAAAAAAAAAAGCUUUUGCUAAAACCUGAUUUAGGGACCUUCUUAUCAGGAAAUCAAACAUGCUAAUAAAAAAUUGCGGAUAAAGCAUGUUAAAAAUCAGCUCAUAGGAAAUGAAUAAUUCGAUUCUCCCCCAGAAAAGACCAUCAAACGAGCAUAAUCAUCAUUACUGUAUAAUAUAACUAUAGACUCUUGUAUAUUCCCCCAUAAACACUUUCCAAUUAUGAAAUCAAAAAAGCUUUUGCUCAAACAUGAUUUAGGAGCCUCCAAACAUGCUAAUAAAACCUUGCAGAUAAAAGCAAGUUCAUAAUCAGCUCAUAAUAAAUGAAAAAAUCGAUUCUCCCCCAGAAAACACCAUCAAACAAGCAUAAUCAUCAAUUGUGUAUAAUGCAAUGCAACCAUAGACUCUUGCAUAUUCCCCCAUAAACACUUUCCAAUUAUACUUCAACAGAAAUAAAAAAAGCUUUUGCUCAAACAUGAUUUAGGAACCAUCAAACAAGCUUAAUUAAUCACCAUUACUCUAUAAUGCAACCAUAGAGUCAUGCAUAGAAAACCCAUAAGCACUUUCCAAUUAUACAUAAACAGAAACCCACCACUGUUCAAAAAAGUUUCACAAUGAAACAAGUAAAGCAAAGCGUUACCCUACCCACACAAAAUUACUACCAUUUCAUGAUUACAUUGAAUUUUCAAUUGGAUGAAAUUGGGAGAUUGUAUGUAUGUAACCUUGAUGGUGAGGUCGUGAGAGAGGGGCCAGGAGAGUGAAUUAUGGUGGGAAGCGCGUUUGCGGGAGGAGUGGUUGGCGGCGUGGAGGAGGAGCGAGCCCAUCUUGAGAGCGCGAUCGAUGAGAUCGGGUGAGUCGUGAGGAGGGGGCUUUGAUUGGAGAAGAUUCUCGAAGGAGAGAUCGAGGGAGAGAGACGGUAAAUCCGAGAGGGAGAGGAACGCGUUGAGAAGAUUCUCCACCUGCUCCGGUCUAGGGUUUUCUGACGGACACUGUCGCUUCGCCAUUGCUGGUGGCGGUGGUGACGGCGAGGAGGAGGAGGUGGUGGUGGAGCACGGUGGCUAUAUCAAGCAUGAGAUUGCGAUAGAGAUUCCCAUUUUUGCACACUCACUUCAUUCGGGAUUUGGGUUUGGCACCCCACCCUUUAGGCUACGCGCCCCAGCAUUUUUUUUUUAUUCCAAAACUACCCAUCGGUAAAUGAUUUGCCGAUGUCAAAAUACCAAUCGGUAAAUCAUUUACCGUUAUUGUUCAAGUCACACAUCUAUUUAUGUCAAUUCUUUUGUAUGGCGCAUUUUAAGUUGUGGUAAGAGAAAAAUGCAUACGACACUUUAAAUAUGCGACAUGCAUAUUACAUUUGUUUCAAACAACACUUUUCAAGUGUGGUAUACCUUAUUGGAAAAAAUGUGGUGGCAUAAAUAAUGUGUGUAUGAUAUUUACCGUUUUUGUUCCAGGGAUGACAGAGUCUUUUUUCUUUGAUGGGGUCUUUGUGGGAGCUUUGAUGAUGAUUAGAACCGACCUUUGAGAUGAUUGAAGUAGUGGAACCGAGCUUUGAGAGAGGAUGCGAUUGAGGGAGGGAAAUUUGGGUUUUGAAAUAAUGGGUUUCAAAACCCAAACUGUCGUGUUUAUAUGUUUUAAACAAGAUCGGUAAAUUAUUCCCCGUUAUAGAGUCGGUUAAUCUUUUCCCUUUUUUAAUCAACUGGUUUUCUGGUAAUUUCGCCCCCCAAGGUGGGGCGGGGGGCCUAAUGGGUGGGGUGUUAAACCCAAAUCCCGGGAUCCCACUUCAUUCACACACCACAGAAUCUUUUUAUUCAUUUCCUCAUUUAGAAAUAAAUAAAGUUGUUUCUCUUUAUGUAAGAAUAAAGAUUAAUAUUUUCCGAUGUAAAAAAAAAAAUUUAUUAAAAUAAACAUUCUUUUUUUUCCAAAGAUGUUUGUAUUAGUUUUUUUUUAGCCACAUAUUUGUAUUGUAUUAAUAACGAGUAGUUAGUUCAAAUGGUAUAUGUUUGAUUUCUCUUGUCGACUUAAAUAUUUUUGUCGCAGAAGAUAUUUGUCUUACAUCAAAAAGAUGUUUGUAUUAAACACUCAAUGCUCAAUGAUACUUGAAUUGAAAUUGAAUAGAAAAAAAAAUGAUAUUAGUACUGCAUAUAGUUGAGUAAAUUAAGAACAAUGAUGCUAUAAACUAGUAAAAACCUUAAUAGAAGGCCAUAAACCCUCAAAGUUAAAAAAAGAAUCCAGUCAGACUUUGAAAUAGAGAGUUUUUUUUUAUAAUUUUUUUGUCUAUUUUUUUUUAUUUUUUUGUCAAAGGUUUCCAUUCAGCAGUUCAUCAAUAUACUCUAAGAAAAGAAACCCCUUCUGGAUUACGUGUCACCUUCUCCUUUUUUUCUGGAUUAUUUUAAGUUUUCCUCCUUCUUUUACAGUUCCCGCUGUUCUUCUUUUUAGUUCCGUGUUUAAUUGAUUUCAAAUUUCAAAUAGAUUCAAAAAUUUGACAUGAAAAAAAAAGGCUGCCAAGAUCAGACUUCAAUUGGAAAGAGAAAUAAUAAAAAACUGAGAAACCCCAUCUCUUCUCAAUUUGCUAUCUCACUUUUCAGUUCUGAUUUUCGUCCUCUUCAUCUCCCUUGAAACCCUAUCUCACUUCUUCACUAUCUAUUCAUCAGUUCUCUAUUAGAUAAGAAACCAGCGUUGGAGUUGCUCUUAGGUUCUUCAACAAAACUCCAUUUUACCUUUGUACAACAUGCACAGACUUUUAUUCUUGUGGGUACGAAGAUUUAUGUUUACUUCUUAUCUUAAAGUGCAUGCGACUCGUUUCCACUGAUAAAAUAAAUAACCAUGAACAUUUUUACUUUGCAGUGACAUUAAUAAACACAUAAACUCGGGAUAUCCAUUGAGAGGUGUAAGGGUGUUUUAUAUCUGUCACUUUGCUUUUACUAUCUUCACUUGUUAGUAAAACAUUGCAACACACUAGAACAAGAACCAAGAUAAUGUGUUUUUAAGAAAUUUGGCAACAAAGCAAUUAUUCAUUUAUGAGAUCUUAUACAUACAUUUGCAUAUGCAAAUCUUAAACUCAAACCAAAAAUGCCAAAAAGUACAAAUGCCUUUUUGUAUGAAGAUUUCAAACUUAGUAGCCUGCAGGCCUGUGAGCAAUGAAGCUGAUGCACUGCACUUGGCGAACGGCGAGCGAAGGCAUUGGGGUAUGCCUCCGCAGCCUCAUCAAGCUCCUUCAACACCUGAGCAGCAUCACUGCAGCCAAACAUGGGCAGCUUCCACAUGGUCCAGUACCGGCCGUCAUAGUAUCCAGGUGACUUGUGGUUCUCACGGUAAACAAAGCCUUUCUGCACACACAAAAUGCAGCAAACAAAUCAUCAACCAUCAAAACUCAAAACUUUCUAGCGUCUUCGGAUUGGCGGCAGCACACAAUUCAAAGUACAAUAACUCCUAAAGCUGCACUUUGUAGCUUUUGCCCAUAAGUGCUUAUAGGGUUUCUCACCGCAGAACCAAACAAGGGUUGGAAGUAAAUUUACCUCCAACUCGAUUUCCAAGUAAGAAAUCAACCAUCGAACUUCAAAAUUAUAUGUAUAUGUUUGAAUUGGUGGUGGCACACAUUUCAAAUCACGAUACUUUUAGCCUAUUUGAUUUUGCGGUGAGAAUUCUCAUAAUCAAUUGUAGAGAGAAGCUACAAAUUGUAGCUUCUGAACUUAUCGUGCUUUGAAUUGUGUGACACCACCAAUCAAAAUCUGCUAUUUGUAGCUUCUCGAAGAAGUGAUUAUAGGAUUUAUAAGCGCUAAUAAUUGAAAACUAGAAAGUAAAGAAAAGGUUGGAAGUAAGUUGACCUCUGUCUCAAAUUCCAAGCAAGGAACCCAACCCUUCCUAAGAAGGUAUUCUACUUCCUUUAAGAGUUGCUCUGUGGUGAGUGGUGGAAGGUAUGAAAGAGUCUCGAACUUCUUCUUGCCAAUAGGAGGCCACACCUAGUAGCAUGCAUAAGAUUGAGUUAAGUGGUUAACAAAUUUGUUGCCAAUGACUUUAAUCUCAUUUGGUACAGGUUUGGAAACUCUUCCACAAUUGAUUUUGAAGUCAGAAUCAAUUAUGGAUAAAAGCUUAUGUGAGUAGCUUCUGUGUCAUAAUUGAUUAGAAGGAAAUAGUAGAAGCUGAUUCAAACAUGCUUAUUAUGGGGCAAAAAUAUGUAGCAUUAUGCAUUGUAAUAAAUUUGAGGCAUCUUAUUCUUACCUGCAUGCAUUGUACUCUUCCACCGUUGCUUGCAAUGGAGGUAAUGUCAUUGUUGGCCUUUCUAACUGGGAAGCCAGCCAUGGACUUGAGGCCGGUGAAUGGAGCCACCAUGCUGGCCUGUGCCGGAGAGGCACCUUUAAUGGUGGUGGCGGCGGCUGAGGAGGUGAUCAUAGAGGAAGCCAUUUCUUUCUCCUUUUUUUAGUUCUCUAGUCAGAAAUACUUGCAAGGCUUCUACUCAAACAGGGUAUAUAUUGCCAAAAUGAUAAACAUUGUAGAAUAUGAACCAAAGAAAUCAUAUCAUGAUAAGAGCUUCACGCCGCAGCUAGUUUAGUCCACAAAAUUAUAUCCAAGUUGUAAUAACCCUCGAUCCUCCAAGAACAACGUUUUAGAAUUUUCUUCUCCGAAAAAUUUGCAUGGGGAAAACUCCAAAGGAUAUGUUAAUGGACUCCAAUUUUAAAAUUUGAAACAGAAAGUAGAGAAAUUAGUCUUGCG
rnacentral:lncRNA from 1 species